GAGGCGGUACCCACCGUGCCGGCCAGGGAGCCUUCGGUAACAUGUGUCGCGGUGGUCGCAUGUUCGCUCCCACAAAGAUCUGGCGCCGAUGGCACCGUAAGAUCAACGUCAAUCAGAAGCGAUACGCCAUCGUUUCCGCCAUUGCCGCCUCCGCUGUCCCCUCACUUGUGAUGGCCCGCGGUCACAAGAUCGAGACUGUUCCGGAAAUGCCCCUGGUCGUCAGUGAUUCCGCCGAGAGUGUGGAGAAAACAUCAGCUGCCCUUAAAGUUCUGAAGCAGAUCGGUGCAUAUGCUGACGCCGAGAAGGCGAAGGACAGCCAGGGGAUUCGCCCUGGAAAGGGUAAAAUGAGAAAUAGGCGUUACAUUUCUCGCAAGGGCCCGCUUGUUGUGUACUCAGCCGAGGGUGCUAAGCUUGUCAAGGCUUUUAGGAACAUUCCCGGUGUUGAGGUUGUGAAUGUUGAGAGAUUGAACUUGUUGAAGCUGGCGCCGGGUGGCCAUCUUGGGCGGUUUAUUGUUUGGACUAAAUCGGCUUUUGAGAAGCUUGAUGAGAUUUAUGGUAAGUUUGAUAAGGGUUCCGAGAAGAAGAAGGGUUAUGUGCUGCCUCGUGCUAAGAUGGUCAACGCUGAUUUGGCUAGGAUUAUUAACUCGGAUGAGGUGCAGUCUGUUGUUCCCCCAACAGAAAAAAACACACACAAACCAAAACCAAUGGCCGCCGCCGCCCGUCCUCUUGUAACCGUCCAGUCUUUGGAAGGUGACAUGGCCACCGACGCAAGCUCCACCGUCCCUUUGCCCGACGUCAUGAAGGCCUCUAUCCGACCCGACAUCGUGGGCUUUGUCCACUCUAACAUCUCCAAGAACAGUCGCCAGCCUUACGCCGUUUCCAGGAAGGCAGGGCACCAGACCUCCGCCGAAUCAUGGGGUACCGGUCGCGCCGUCUCCCGUAUUCCCCGUGUCCCCGGAGGCGGUACCCACCGUGCCGGCCAGGGAGCCUUCGGUAACAUGUGUCGCGGUGGUCGCAUGUUCGCUCCCACAAAGAUCUGGCGCCGAUGGCACCGUAAGAUCAACGUCAAUCAGAAGCGAUAUGCCAUCGUUUCCGCCAUUGCCGCCUCCGCUGUCCCCUCACUUGUGAUGGCCCGUGGUCACAAGAUCGAGACUGUUCCGGAAAUGCCCCUGGUCGUCAGUGAUUCCGCCGAGAGUGUUGAGAAAACAUCAGCUGCUCUUAAAGUUCUGAAGCAGAUCGGUGCAUAUGCUGACGCCGAGAAGGCGAAGGACAGCCAGGGGAUUCGCCCUGGAAAGGGUAAAAUGAGAAAUAGGCGUUACAUUUCUCGCAAGGGCCCGCUUGUUGUGUACUCAGCCGAGGGUGCUAAGCUUGUCAAGGCUUUUAGGAACAUUCCCGGUGUUGAGGUUGUGAAUGUUGAGAGAUUGAACUUGUUGAAGCUGGCGCCGGGUGGCCAUCUUGGGCGGUUUAUUGUUUGGACUAAAUCGGCUUUUGAGAAGCUUGAUGAAAUUUAUGGUAAGUUUGAUAAGGGUUCCGAGAAGAAGAAGGGUUAUGUGCUGCCUCGUGCUAAGAUGGUCAACGCUGAUUUGGCUAGGAUUAUUAACUCGGAUGAGGUGCAGUCUGUUGUAAGGCCGAUUAAGACUGAGGUUAAGAGGGCUCCAAUGAAGAAAAAUCCUCUCAAGAACUUGAAUACGAUGUUGCGGUUGAACCCAUAUGCUAAGACUGCUCGGAGGAUGUCUCUUUUGGCUGAGGCACAACGGGUUAAAGCUAAGAAGGAGAAGCUCGACAAGAAAAGGAAGCCCAUCACUAAGGUACAAUGUCUUAUUCUUUUAACUAAUUAAUAUUGUUUAUUUAAAUAUAUAUGUGAUUAAUUGUUGCUGCCUUUGGUAAUUUGUUUUCCUUUUUUUGGUUGUGUUUGUGAAGAUGAUCUGUUUCAUGUUGUAUUUGUCUUGAAGUUAUUCUAUGAUAAAAGUAGAUUGAAUAUUGAUUUAUGGCAUAUAAGAAUACCGUGGAUUAGCAAAAGCUGUACUCAGAGAGAGUGAUCGUCUUCUUUGAUGUAAAAGGUGUAACUGCUGCAGCAGGGCUGUAACCAUUUAAUAUUGCUCGCAUAUAUGCGAGUACUGGUUGCUUGUGUGCCGCCUUCAACUCUUCAUCAAGUUGUUUUGUUUAGGUUUUAUAUAUUUGUUAUGGGGUUAGGGUUUAACUUUAACCAUUUACAAUUACAAUUAAGAUCUUUUAAAAUAUGUAAUAUAAUUUGUCCAAUUUAUUACUUAAUUUGUCCAUCAUAAUUUGUGUGUAUUGGUAUCAAAUUUGAUUUUGAGAUACCUCUAUGAUGCAAAAAAUAAUUAGAAAUAUGUAGCAGUAUUUUAAGCACAAAGCUAUUUUAAUAUAUCAGGUACCUUCCAUGGAUUGUAAGGGUACAAUGUUGGAUACAUUGCUUAUGUUAGAAAGUAGUACUCUCUUAAAAGCAUUAAGUAGCAGAUUUAUUACUUCUACGUUAAAUUUAUUCGUUUGUUUUGAUUAAUGAAUCUAAUGUUUACCUUUCCAUCUUCAAUCCUGUCAGGAGGAGGCUGCUGCGAUCAAGGCUGCAGGCAAGGCAUGGUACCAGACGAUGAUCUCAGACAGUGAUUAUACUGAGUUUGAGAACUUCUCAAAAUGGUUGGGUGUCUCACAGUAAUCUGAUUGUUGGUUUUUUAAUUUUGUUUUCAAGACAAUAUUUUGUUUAUCUUUACUGAUUUUGUUGUUGAAUUGUAGUCUCUUUGGCUCUUUUGAGUCAUGAUGAGAAUGUGUGGAAGGAAGAUGAGUGGAUUUGGGAAAUGUGUAGACUUUUGUUUCUCCUUCCUCCAUUUUUUGUCUCUAUCGGCUAGGUGGAAGUAUUUUCUUCAAUGUUAGAAUUGGAGUUAUAUGUUUUAGGAGACGGAUUCAUUGUCUUAAUGGUACUAUCUUAUGGAUAAAUUUCAAUUAUACUUGAAUGGAUUGAUGCUCUCAUCUUUUGAUGUUUGAUGCAUUAGCUUAUGCUGUAUUAUUAUAUGUUUCUUUUUUUCUGAAUCUCAGAAGCUUUAAACUUAUAUUCUUCUAUUCUGCAGUAGCAAUUAGUAAACAUUCAUUCAUUGUUUAAUUGGAAAUAAUUCGGGAAUUACAAAUGUUCGUUAAAUGGAUUUGUUGAAUGUCAUUCUGGUGGCUCUAUGGCUAAUAACAAUUGUUCUGGAGUAAACAUGUGUUUUCCAUGUUCUGGUUAUAAUAUUCUUGCUAUUUUGAGUGAAAGACUACGCGCGCUAUAUGAGCAAGAGUAUAAAAUCAUAUAAUUGUGCAUUUACUAAAUUGAAAUCAGACGGAAUGGAUAGGAAUGAGAAUUAAUUAUUAUUAUUAUAUUAAUUAAUUAAUAGAUUAUUAUAAUUAAUAAUAUAAUAAUUAUUAUACUGCAAAUUUUCAAUUAAUUAAUUGCUAAUAACAGAUUAAUAUAUCAAUUAAUAAUAAUAAUACAUUAAUUACUGUGAUUAUUUAUUUAAAAAUUAUUAUUAUUAUUAAUUAUUGUUAAUAAUAUAAUAAUAUAUUAAUUAUUUAAUAAUAUAAUAAUAAUAUUUAAAUUAUUUAAUAUAAUGUAUUAAUUAAUUAUAAUUAAGGACAAAAUGGGUAUUUUAAUUUUGUGGAGGGCCAAAUUAUCAUUCUUGGGAAAUGGGACGCUCAUUCCAGCCACUCAUUUGGGAAUCAAUCUCCUAUUUUAUGUUCCCAAAUUGGGGUGAGUCUCACGAUGCCGAUUUCGAUUUUGAUUCUCGACUCUAUUUCUGGAAGUAAACAUUCUCAAAUUAGGGUAGGCUCUACGAUUUCGAUUUCGAUUCUCAUUCUUGACUUUAUUUUUGCGAAGUAAACACUGUCAAUAAUUUUGAUUUCAAAUUUUGAUUCCUUAAUCCGGAAGGUAAAUGCACCAUAAGUUGAUUUAUCUUUAGCCUUGCAACUUGAAUCAUAUGCAACCACGAGGAAAGCUUGAGUCAUUAGUAAACAUAAACCUCGGACUUACUGGAUAAACUUUUACUUGUUUGAAAAGUUUAUGAAAAAUCCUGGCACCUGAGUAAAAGGUUGAGCCAACAACUAAAUUGCAACAUAUGUAACUUACAUCAAUGUAUAAGUAAUUUUUCAAUAUCCUUUAGGUAUUUGGUUAAUAUAAGUUACUUAUGGGUUGAUAUAGGUUAGGACAAUAUGAUUCGAGUUUUAAAAUAGAGUUGGACUACCGACAACCCUUUAAAAAUCCUCUUAAAAAGCACCUUUAAGUAAACCCAAUUACAUAAUACUAACAAAUAUAUUAUUGCUAUUGUGUGGCGAAUAAAUAGAAUAUUGAAAAUGAAGUGCCACGUGUCGAUAAGAAGGUUUUGGUGACUGAAAGUAACCCUCGUAGGGUACCCAACAUGUACUGGGUAUACUCUCCAGAUAAACUGAUACGUGGGGUAUGCCAUGACAUAGUCAGUAAAUUAAAGAAAAUAUCCAAAAAUGACCAUCACACGUGAUGUCUCAAUAGAAUAUUUGAUUUGAUGAAAUUAAAUCAAGAAUAUUUUGUCAGAAAAGAGAAAACAGCCCGCUGAAAUAUCCACAAAAAACCACAAGCAAUGCACAAAGGUGUACAGAUAGCCUCUGCAAAAGGAACCUUGGACCACCUGCAAUGUACGCCACGUACACAAAACAACAAAAUCCACCAAAAACCACCUCUUUGUCCUCCAAACAUUCUCCUAACGGUUCAAAAACCACAAUAAUGAUAAAAAGACGUGAGAAUUUCAGAAAGGACAGUCAAAUCUCCAAUAAAAAUAUGCCACGUGGCAAGUUAUCCAGGCUAUACUAAAUAAAGGCAAAAAAAAGUUCUAUUACUCUUAUACUCGCUCACACCCAUCUUCUCUAAUGCUUAUCAUAAAUACAUCAGGGUUGAGGUAUUCUUCAACCUCCAGCUACCAUUUUUAAAUGUCCUAUCCUUGAAAAGGCAAAACGAAAAACUUCCACUAGAAAAUACUAACUUUUGCAAUUUUAAAGGCACUUGCGAACACUUCCCUGGGCUUUACCAGUCUUUCACAUGAAGCUACAAUUAUAUUUAUUGCUACAAUUAUAUUUAUUUUGCCAUAGGUAGUUGGUUAGAGAUUUGCACGUUGAGCCAUUUUCGAAUUGAUGAAUUUGUGUGUGCUAUUGCAAUCAACCAUAGCUAUCAUAAAAUGCUCUUUUAGCCCUCCCACAUCCUCAUUAUUGUGGUGAUUGAAAACCAUCCAUGACAUGGAAUGAAAUUUCAAGUUCGUUAGUUCUUUCUUUAACUUCCAUCACCUCGUCUCCAUCUGAUUCCUCUCAAUGUUGUGGUGAUUGAAAACUAGCCACGACAUGGAAUGAAAUUUCAGGUUUGUUAGUUCUUUCUUUAACUUCUAUCACCUCGUCUCCAUCUGAUUCCUCUCAAUAAACUUCAAUCAUAAAUAGUUUUCCGUAAAAAUAUCCUAGACCAAAUUUUUCAUUAUAAUGAAAGCAUAAUCCCUUUUAUCUUCUUUCAGCUAAUUCCUCAGAUGUCAUCCUUUUGACUAUUGUCGAAGCCACUUGACCACCAGUCUGAAAUUUUGCUUGAUUUAUUAGUCGUGAGAACUGGGUAGUAGGUUUCUUUUGAUCUUAAUUACAAGCCUCAAACAAUCUAGCUAAACCAAUGGCCAUGGUUAAGGAUGUUGUCCUAUUAGCUUGCACAUCAAUUCAAAAACUAUCUCGAAGUCGAGUUAAAAAACAACUUUCCUUCUAGUUUUAUGAUAAAUGCCCAACUUUUGCUAACAAUUUAUCAAAUUGGCAUGAUAUUCCACCACUGUACCGAUUUUCCAUAGCUUAAUUAAUUCACCAAAAUGUUUGAAUUGGUUAGGGCCAAAUCGAGAAAAUAUCUUAUUCUUGAAAUCCUCCCAAUUGUUAUAAAACAUUUCUUGCUUCAGCAUUUGAAAUCCUAGCUGAGCUACGCCCUCCAGAUAGAAUGAAGCCAGCGUCACCUUGUCUGAUUCUGCAAUGUCGUGGAGGGAAAAUACUUUCAACUCUACACAGCCAAGUGGUGGAGUCACCUUUUCCAUCAUAACAAGGAAAAUCAAGCUUAAUAGUCUUUAGAAUGAUAACGCUCAAUAAACUCGUGGCCUUGAUUAGUGAUGAAUAUUGGGAUCUCCUUCUACCUUUCUUUGAGUUUGAGCUGAAUUCUCUACCAUUUGAUAAGUGUUUUUGCCAGAACUUGUUGACUUAUCUUCUCUAGUCUCUUUGUGAUAUAGCAUAAAGAUGCUUGUGGUCAGCAACAAUCUCCUCUAUUUUGUUUUUUUUUUUUUAAUUUCUCAACCCUCUCUGAUAGCUCCAUGCUUGAGCUCUGAAUGUUACACACACAAUUGUUUGCUUAAGGAAAAUUAAAGAUACAAGCACAAUUUGCUAACUCUUCGAGGGUUUAGUGCCUCCCACUACUCAAUACUGAGUGGAUAAAUUUGUUCGAUCUUUAUUCAUGACAAAGGGUGCUUAUAUACAAGUGCAUUACAACUACCAUGAGUAAAACUAGGAAUAAAUAAGUAGAAAAAAUAACAGAGUGGCUAAAAACGUAGCUACUUUACUAACCAUCGUUGAGUUGACUUAUACUUAUUCAAAUAGAAUAAACUAACUUAUUCUUCCCCAAUUCAAAUAGAAAUAAAUUAGAUUGUAACAGAGAGCGAAAGAGAGAAAGGAAGUGGAAUACGAAACGAAGAGGGUUUGGUUAGAUAAUUUUAUCCUUUAUAGUAAUUGCAUAGGUGAGGGGUUUUAUAAGAUUAAUUUAGGGGUACCAAUAACACCACUCUUUAGAAUACAAAAUGACGAUAGAAACAUAAAAUAUAUACAGUUGCAUUGCUAUCACUGUGUUCUUGUUGGAUGACUUGAAUGCUAAUGUGGGAUUGGUUUGGUAAUUUAGUUCUAUGUUGUGCUAUUAUAUGUAGCAAUAUAUAUAUAUUCUAUCUAUUACAAUAAAUUGUUGUGCUACUAUUUGUAGCAAUGUAUAUACAUUCUAUCGAUUACAAUAAAUAAGUAAAUUGGCUAACAUCUACUAACUAAUGGGGAGAAAAAUAGUGGGGGUAGAGGCUAUAUAAGAUAAGAGGGUGCAUGGUCCUUACAGAAUUUUAAAAAAUUUCAGGGUUUCUAAAUAAAAUAUGAAAAAUUAUUGUAAAAGGACUAUAUUGGUCCCCGUACAACUAAUGUAUGAAGUUUAUAUAUUAGAUAAUAAAGAAAUUUUACUGUUAAGUCCACUAAUAAUAGCAACAAAAUAAUAAAAAACAAAUGAGUGAAGCCCACUAAAGACCUCUAAGGGUGCGUUUGAGAGUGUGAUGUGGUAGCUGGCCUUUGACAGCUCAAGAGAAUUCUUUUCCUAGCUGUAUAUUAAAUUACUAAAUUAGCCUUAUAUAUUAUUCAAUUUCAAUUUUAUCAUUUUCAUUUUUAAACUUAAUUUCAAAUCGAUUUUUUUCAUAAAACAACACUAAAUGCCCAUUCUCAUCAACACGAUUCCGACUGUGGCAGUUCUAAUUAACGCGAUUCCGACAGCAACCACUCUCAUACGCCAUUGUUAGUGGUGCAUUUUAUUGUACAUGUUGAUCAUUUUUUAGUUCUCUUUUACUCUAUUAAAUGCAAUUUUUCAUUUUCUUCCUUUUUGUUCAUAAUGUGAUGGGGCUUUUGAUUAGAAUAAAUUGAUAGGUGCUGGGUCAUGCGCGAUUUAUUUGCUUUUAAUCAUUGUUUUUAUUGUCUCUUUUUAUUUUUGUAGUUGCUUUUCGUAAACAUGCACAACCCCUAUUUGAUGAAAUUCUCCUAAUAAAAAUCAUUCUCAAACUUAUUUAAACAAAGGUCACGCCCUGAUAUUGUAACAAGUUUCAAUUUUGUUUAUAUUUAAGUGUGGAAUUUGUGAUAUAUAGUAUACAUUUAUGAGUAGUAUCGGUUGUUUUCUUAAAGUUUUAAGUUUAUGAUAUAUAUUAUCUGGGUUGUGUUCAUUUGCCUCUAUUUUUGUAAUUUUGAUUAGAUCCUUUGUAAAUUUACUAUCUUGAUCUUGUUAUCGGCCCAUAUCUUUGAUUUGAGUUUACAAUUCUUUGUAUCAUGGCAAAACUCAGUGUUUGAUUAAAAUUUAUUUAGACCAUUAUUGUUCGUUAAUAGCAAGCUUCUAGUUGAUUUUUCUUGUUUAUGAUGAUUUUUUUUUUAAUUUCUUUGUUUCCUUGUUUUGGUUUGUCUUUGGUUGCUUUAUUGAAUUGCCUAUAAUUGUUUCCAUUCAUGGGUUAUGAUUGUUAUUGUUUGUUGGAAAAGUAUUUCAUGUAAAGUAACUUGGUAAUGCUAAUGGACGGAGUUUUCUAUUCUUGUGAUAGUUAAAUUUUUGCUGAAGAUAAAUACAUAAGUGGUCUCUCAACCUAUUUUUUGGCACAAAUAAGGGUCAAUAAUAGUGUAUGUACAUAGUUUGUUGACAUUGAUCAGAGUCUAGUUUUAACUCUCUACUUUUUUUUAAUAUCGAAUUGGUUUUCCUUCUGCCAUCCAUAACAAGAUGUAGCAAUUUUUCCAACUUCUAUAUUCUUAUUUUUUUGUAUUGUUGUUGGACAAAGAAUUUUUUUUUUUUUUAGGUUUAAGUGUAUGAAAUUAUAUCUAGUAGUUCAACUAGUAAGGCUACCUAGAACCCCCAGACUUUAGAUAUAUUUUGUGACUUAUGCAUUAAAAAUGUGGAUGCCGAACAUCGUUUUGGGACUCGUUUGACUUUCCAAUGAUAUGAAAAUUUGAUUAAGGAGUUCAUUAAAGAAACUGGAUUAUAUUACAACAGAACUCAAAUGAAAAACAAAUGGGAUUAUCUUAGAACUUAUUGGAAAUUAUGGAAGAAUUUGAUUGGCAAGGAAAUUGGUUUAGGGUGGAAUCAUAGGUUAAGGGUAGUUAAUGCAAGUGAGGAAUGGUGGGAAAAGAAAAUAAAGGAAAAUUCACAAUUCAGUAGAUUUCAGAAAAAUGAUAUUGAUCCAGAGUUUGAGAAAAAAACUAAAUUUAAUGUUCAUGAACACAAUGGCUACAAGGGAGUAUGUUUGGGUUCCCUCAUCUAGUUUUCCUUUAGAGAGUAAUGACGCAUUUGAAUCUCUUCAUGUUGAGAGCACUGCUGAUUCUGAUGAGUAUAUUGUGUCUGAUGAUAGUAAGGGAAGCAAAGGUAAAAGAGUGGCGUAAAAGGGAACAAAAAAAGAGGUGUUGCAAAACUGUCAAAAUAGCUUGAUCAUCUUAUUAAUGGGGUAGAGAAAAUGAACACAACAACUUCAAACUCUUAAAAUGGUACAAGUGGGAAGCAAAUUUAUAAAGCAUUGAAAGUGGUUGUUUCUUUACCGAACAUUCAGGCUAGGAGCAAAUUAUGGUUAUUUGCUAGUCAGUUGUUUAUGAACAAAGUGAUAAGGGAUUUAUUUAAUAGAAAUACUUGAUAGAAAUGUUAGUAGGUGCUUUAACAUGUUUUGAGUGAAUAGUGAUGUAUCUUUAAAAUUAUACACUAACUUAGAAGAUAAUUAUGGCUUAAAGAGUUCAAGAAGGACGUGUGCCGCUGAGAUAUUAGCAAUGUUUUUGUAUACACUAGGACAAAGUGUAAGGAAUCGGUUAACAAUGGACUGGUUCCAACAUUUUGGUGAGAUUGUGAGUAGAUAUUUCGACAAAAUAUUAGAUAAUGUGUGUCAUAUGUCUAUAGAUUUGAUAAAAUCGUUGGAUCUUAAUUUUUUCUACCACUCCCAAAGAGAUAUCUGAAUAUUCAAGAUACAUGCCUUACUUUAAGGUAAUUGACAAAACUAAUUUAAUUUAUUAAUUUUCUUUUACAAACCUAAUCACUUCAUAAAAUGAUUAACAUAUAUAUGCUUGUGAUACUUUCAGGAUUGUAUUGGUGCUAUAAAUGAUGUUCAUAUACUUGUCUCAAUAUCUAUGGAGGAUCAAAUUCCAUUUAUUAGUAGAAAAAGGACACCAAGUCAUAAUGUAAUGGCUAUAUGUAACUUUGAUAUGCAAUUCAUAUUUGCAGUGGUUGGUUGCAGUGGCGAAGCUAGCACCAUAUUUUGGGGUGGGCUAUUACAUUUUUUUAAAAUUUUUUUAUAAGUAUUAAUGAAGACAAAUCCAUAAAUUAUAGUUAAUUAAUUUUUUUUUCCAAAAAGCUAACCCGGGCUGCAGCCCGGGUUGGCCCACUCUUAGCUUCGCCACUGAACUUGGUUGGGAAGGUAGUGCCCAUGAUGCAAGGGUAUUUCAAACAACUAUUACAAAUCCUGCACUCAAUUUUCCAAACCCUUCUCCAGGUUUAUGUUUCUAAGUUUUUUUUUAUACUUAUUCAAUUAAUUUGAUUGUGUUAUGUAUUUUUAUAUUUUUCUUUUUUUGAAGGAAAAUAUUAUUUAGUAUAUGCAUGAUAUCUAGAGUUAUGUGGUUACUUAGGACCAUAUAAGGGUGAAAGAUAUCAUCUUCCUGAAUUUCACAGAGGUAGCCAACCAAUGGGUCAUAAAGAAUCAUUCAACUACAAGCGUUCCUUAAGAAGUGUUAUUGAGCGUACUUUUGGGGUUUGGAAGAACACAUGGAAUAUUUUUCGAAAUAUGCCAAGCUACCCAUUCAAGAAGCAAGUGAAGAUAGUUAUUGCUACCAUGACCUUACAUAAUUGCAUUAGAAGAUAUUCGCAAAAUCAUGAUCAUUUUGAUGAAAUAAUGGAUGAGCCAAUUCAUAAUAUUAGCGAACAUAUAAGCAAUAGAGUGCUGAUAGCGCCACAAACUCUUGUACAAACUUAUCUUGUACAAACUAAUGUGGCAUUAAUUCAUUGGUUGAAUGGAAAUACAAAAUAAUAAAACUAAAUCAUGUUUGCCAAGAGAUAUUUAAUUCAAUCAAUUUUAUCAUGUCAUAUCAGUUUGUAUAAGAUAAGUUUGUACAAGAGUUUGUUUCUUCAAUCAAUACUCUAAGCAAUAUUGCAUCUCAUGAAAAACGUUAUGAUACAAUUGAUAAUACAGCUCAAGAUAUAAUAAUAUUAAGAGAUGGCAUUGCUGCGAGUUUAAUGGAGGAAUGACAAUAGAAUUAUAUAUACAAAUUUUGUAAUUAAUUAUAUUUUAAUUAUAUUAUGUUAUGUUGUAUGAUGUUUAUUAGACAUAUUUGGUAUAAUUUAUUUCUUCAAUCAAUAUUUAAAAUUAGAAUUUAUUUAUUUUCAUUUUUAAAUUAAUUUGUUUUAAAAAUUAUUUAUUAUAACUUGUGCAAAAAAUAAAUUUAAUUUAUUAAAUAUUAAUUUAAGUUCUAAAAGAAAUAAAUUGUAAUUGUAUGUCAAUAUAAUAAAUCGAAGUAUGAAAAUAAUUUGAUUUGUUAAUAAUUAAAAUUAAUGUUAUUUAAAAUUAAUUAUUACAAAUAUUCAUCCACUCCUUAGCUAUUAAACUUUACCAAACACAAUAUAUCUUAAAAGUCACAGCACCUUUACCAAACACCAUAAACUUAUACUCCAUUACUGUAUCUUUUACUCUAUAACAGCUACAACGCCUCACUCCUAAAUGCACCUUAAAUCACUAACGAUAGCAUUAAAAUAAUUUUAAAAAAAGAAAAGAAAUCAGCCAAGCUAAAAACAUCAGCUGAGUGAAGGACGCAAAUACGAUAUCCUCCAAAAUUGCAAGUGAUAGAACCGAAACCCCAAAAUUUCUAGCGAUCUCAUUGCAUGAAAAAUGAGAAAACCAUUAAAAAUUAAUCAGUAUUUCAAAAGAAAAAAAAACACGAGAGAAUUUAGAAGUCAAUACCAAUUCUCCAAAUUCUAAAAAUUCGCUAGUCUCACUUACCAAUUUACCAAAUUCAUGAAAUCCACCUUUAAAAUCUUUUAAGAAUUGAGACAAAUCUAAUUGAUACUCAACUUUUAGAGCGGGAUUUGGGAUUGCAUACACAAAUAUAGGUUUAUGAUGUUAAUCAAUGGGACGAAAUCUACAAAGCAUACAUAAUGGAUUUUAAAAGGAUGUGUUGUUUGAUCUCUAAUGAUUGAAUGUCAAAAGAAUUCGUAUGUGAGGCCAAAAAGUAAUAAUCAAGUGUAAAUUUCUUAUAUGUGAGGCCAAAAAACAGUGUACAAAAAUUUCUGGACUGUGGUCUAGGCUUUAUGAGAAGACGACCUGUCGGCGUAUUUCUUGUAAAGUAACCGACAAUACGAUGUGUGUCAUAACACGCACUAACAGCCUGACACGACAUGGCGUUUCAAGAAACUGAACCUAUCCAAAUCCCAUAUCCAUGGAACAGAAUUUCAUCCUUCUUAGUUCUUAUAAGUUCCGGUUCAUCGAUGAGGUUCAGGUAAGUAACUCUUACAAUCUCAAUUCAGCGUCGUUUUCUUCAAUUCCCAGUUACGCUUGAUCAUAAUUAGUUCUUAAGAUUUCAAUAAAUUACCAGUUUAUUUAAUUUCAAUUUUCAAUUGCGAAUCCCCAUUAUUUCUUCUGAUCAAAACAAAGAAAAUGCUGCAGCACCAAAUAGUGCAGUCACCAGCUAGGUUAGGUUUAACAAACCCUAAUUCGCCCUCUCUUCAAAACCCUAACCCUAACCCUAGCCCGACCAAAUUCCCCACUUCCGCCACUCACCACCACCUCCGCUCCGCUACUCCGCCAACCGCCCCGAUCACCACAGGUACAACCGCCUGCACCUCCUCCACCCUCCUCUCUCUUCUCCCACCUCUCCCCAGAGCCCAAGCCCUUCUACUUCAAAUGGCUUCAUUAGCCUCUAAACUCUUCGAAGUAUCCCCAAAUCGUUCCCUUUGGAUCUCCGCUUUCCGCGGCUCGCUCCCGACGUUUCUCUCCUCCCAGGCUCAGUCACAGCCUCCGCCUCCAAUUGACUCGUCCCCGUCUACCAUUAAGGAAAUUAUAGCUUGUUUUACUUCCCUUCAGACGCAGCUUUUCGAAGCCGUUGCUGAGCUUCAAGAAAUUCUUGAUCUUCAAGAUGCUAAGCAGAAAAUUGCACGUGAAAUUAAGGCCAAGGAUUCUGCCAUUCUUGCUUUUGCUAAUAAGAUUAAGGAGGCAGAGCGGGUUCUUGAUAUUCUUGUUGAUGAUUAUUCGGAUUACAGACGCCCCAAAAGGGUGAAAUCAGAGGGUGGUGAUGGCAAUGAUGAUGAUAGUGGUUCUUGUUCUACGACAGUUGAGUCUCAAUUGAAUUUAUCAGAUAUUUUAUCCUAUGCUCAUAGAAUUAGUUACACGACUUUUGCACCACCAGAGUUUGGUGCUGGGCAGGGUCCUCUUCGUGGGGCACUUCCACCUGCUCCGCAAGAAGAGCAAAUGCGGGCUUCCCAGUUGUAUACUUUUGCUGAUCUUGAUGUUGGUUUGCCUAAAGUUGUUGAAACCAAAGAGAAGACAAUUGAGGCUAUCAUUGAGCCACCACCUUUACAGCCAGUGGAUGCCAAUCCGCUUAAGGAUUUGGCUGGUUUGCUUCCUCCGAAUAUUACAGUUCCAUCCGGUUGGAAACCAGGGAUGCCUGUGGAGUUACCGAAAGAUUUCCCACUUGUGCCCCCACCUGGAUGGAAGCCUGGGGAUGCGGUACCAUUGCCCCCAUUGGAUGCUCUUCCUAUGCCUAGAAUUGAGGAACAACAGUUGCGGCCUGUGCCUCCUCAGGGAUUACAUAAACCACCUGAGCCCAUACAAGUUCGGCAUGUUGAGUUGGAUAUUCUGGAUCAAGAUGAUGACAGUAGUGAUUAUAGCAGUGAAGAGGGAAGCUCUGAAGAUGAUGGUUGAUCGGAUGAUGGUUCAAAGUUAUUUUUGGAUUGGAAUUCUCAGGUGGCAUAUUAGCAAAUUGUAGCUUAUUUAGCCUUGUGAAAUGUGAACAACUAAAGUUUUGCACAUGAUGUACUUUUCUAGUAAAAUGUGCUAUCUGUAGCAAUUUUGCUAUUUUAGUGAGUUGCUGAUCAAGUACUCUGGUCUAGUAUAUUGAAAAUUUGUAACUUAUUCUUCCUUCUGAACAAAUUAAAACUCUAAAGUGAGUUGCAUGCGGUCCACGUUUCCAGUAUAAUUUGUUAUUAUCAAUACUGUCGGUAUUGUUGAGAAGGUUCCAGUAUAAUGUGUUAUGUCUGAGGGAUUUUGCUAUUUUAGUUAUUCGUUUUAGCCAUCACUUGCAUUCCUUUCGUUUGAACCUGAUUGCAUUACCUUGAACUGCAACUUGCAAGUUUAUCUUAUGGACAAGAGAAUGAUGAAUAAUAGGUUGAGUAAUUCAAAUUGAUUGACUUAGACUGGCAACGGCAACUUUGAUUUUUGUUGCUGGCUUGAAUCUGGUACAAUUGAUUUAUGCAGAUGGGUGUAUAUAUAUAUAUAUAGAUCAGAAAAUUUUCUUGUUUUACAAUUUGUGAAGAAUGUUAACUUGAGAAUUUCUCUUAUUUCAGAUAUGAGCUUGUUUAGAUUUGAUGAGAAUUGAAGAAGAAUUUAGGUAGUUUUGGGGGUUGGUUGGUCUAUGAAAUUCUUGAACAUUAUCUUGUUUGUGUUCGAUGAGGAUGAUUCCACAUUGUUAAUUUUUUGAGCUAGCAAUUUGGAAGGAAAAACAUAUUACGACUUUGAUUCAAGUAUUUUUUGGAAUUCUUGUACAUUGUCCUGUUUGAGUGAAACUACGCUAAUUAUAUUAUUUUGAUAUUAGUUGGUGGUGGUUCUCCUGGGCAGUCAUCAAAACUUACUAGGAUAUGGAAAGUGAGUUAUAGUGGAAGUACUGCAGUAGUGUUGAGAGAAUGCUUUCUUUAUGAGGGACUGUUGAACCGUUUCUGAUGCCAAUGUCACUGAGUGUGGGUGAACUGAGAUUUUACUUCAUACCUGCUUUUCAGUAAUGUCUCCAGAAGCAGGCAAGCAGCAUAAUGAUUUGUAGUAGAAAUUAUAAAUAGGCAUGUGCUUUUGUAACGGAAAACCAGCAAGCAAACAUCAUAUAAUUGCUGCUUUUACUGGAAUUAUGUAAAUAAGAAAUUGUUUAACUAUUGUAACUUAAGUUGCUGGAAUGAGAGAGGUGCAUGAAAGAUUUUUCUUGAGCUUCAUUUGCAGCUUUCUAAAGCUUUGAAUACGUUGCUUAUUGCAUGUCAGGGCUCACGCAUCUCUAUUUGUAUCAUGUAGUAACAGGCAUGGAGCACUUGGGAACUGAGGGCCUUACAUUAUGCAGAACAACCGACGUAAGUUUCAUGUUGUCUCUCUCUGUUGCUAAUUUGAACUGGCACUGAGAGAUCAAAGAUAUUGAUGGGGACUUGUCACGUUCUUUUUGCUGUGGGUUGGAGAAGUAGAAAUUUGGGUGUUUGUAGGAGGUGAUGUCUUAUUUUCUCCCUUGCUGUUGCUGAUGUACAAGUUCCUGAUAGCACAAGUUGCUUUAGUUAAUGUUAGCAAAACUAAUUAUGUUUCAUUAUUUAAAUGCGCAGCUGCAUUUAAUCUUAAACCCGUAGCUUUUGUUAGUUUUGAUAUUUACCUUUCUUGAAAGUUAGGAUCUUGACAAUGACACGUCUUUCUAUCUCAAUUAUUUUCAGAGCGCAGUUUCAUGUAUAUUCAGGGACACUAAUUAAUAACUGGUAAAAUUAAAAAUUAUUUGCAUUGACACUUUCUAAGGGAGUUUAGGAUUUAUUGUUUAGAAUGCUAACUUUGAAGCAGGGGUAGUUUUCUCUUCCUAUUGCUACAGAGAAAUGAUAUAACCGGCAGAAAAGAAGAUGAAGAAACCCAAUAAAUCCUAAGGAAAAAAAAGUGACAAGAAGAAACAGUUCUAAGCCAAUAACAAUAAAAAUAGUGAUGGUGCACACUCGCCCAUUAUAUCAAUGAACUAAAAUAAAAUAAUGGAAACUGAAUUUGAUGGCAAUCCUUUUUCUUGUUUUUGGAAGGAAUUUGAGGCAAUCUAGUCUGCUACAAUAUAUGUCUACAACUUCGUGUGUUUUAAAUUUAUAAAUUUUAGAAGUUCAAGAAAAGUUAUGACAUCUUCUUAAGACAUGCUUGAGAUGGAGAAGGGGAUGAUACUUGGCUACUUAUCCUGUAAUUGGCAAACAAAAGGGGCACGAGCAACGUGAAUAAACGACUUAGAAUUUCUCAAAAACUUCUGUCUUCUCCUCUGUUCUGCACUUUCUUUAACUCUUUGUGUCACAAUUGUUUCUAUUCGAAUAUCAGAAGGUAAUUACCAUUUGGUAUCAGAGCACACGUUCCUGGCUGAAGGAUAUGCCGACAUUUGGAUCAAUCAGAACCUGCUUCAUUAGAUCAACUUCCUGCCAAGCAAAUUCAAUGCCAGGCUGAUUUUGUUGGAGUACAGGUGCAAUGUCGAACCAUACGAAUAGAUUUUCCAUUAUUUACUGGAGAAGACCCAAUUGGGUCGGGUUUUCGGGCGGAGCAGUACCUGCGACUAUACGAGUUACGGGCAUUACAAAAGCACAAAUUAUGACUUUAGCUACUGCCCAUCUUAUUGGAGAUGCUAUUCCAUGUUACCAAUGGAUAGAGCGAACAAUGGGAGAAUUUGUUGGGAAAAUAUGCUCUUUAAAAGCAUAUGUGUUUAUUUAAUUUUAAUAAAUAAUUUUUCUGAUUAAUAAAAUAAAUGAGGUAUUUUAUUCAAAUAUCUUAAUUGCAUUAAUAUUUGUAUUAAAGUCCAUUUAAUCAUAUUAUAUGUAUUUAUGUGAUCACCAUGUGGAUUCACAGAAGACAUAAAUACAAGUUAUCUUAUGAUUAAAUAAAUUUAGUUCGCAGUUGAUAAAUAAAGUUGGGCACUUUAUUUAGGUAUAGACUGUAAUAAAUUCAUUGAAUGAUUUGUCUUAAUCAUGUAUGAAUUUAUUGAUGUAGUACAACUACAUUGAACAGGAUCACAUAUGAGAUUUAAUUAACAUUGAAAUGACUGUCAGACUUAUUAAAUCUCACUUAAUUUAGACUAAUUAGUUGGAAGUGAUGAUUUCANNNNNNNNNNNNNNNNNNNNNNNNNNNNNNNNNNNNNNNNNNNNNNNNNNNNNNNNNNNNNNNNNNNNNNNNNNNNNNNNNNNNNNNNNNNNNNNNNNNNNNNNNNNNNNNNNNNNNNNNNNNNNNNNNNNNNNNNNNNNNNNNNNNNNNNNNNNNNNNNNNNNNNNNNNNNNNNNNNNNNNNNNNNNNNNNNNNNNNNNNNNNNNNNNNNNNNNNNNNNNNNNNNNNNNNNNNNNNNNNNNNNNNNNNNNNNNNNNNNNNNNNNNNNNNNNNNNNNNNNNNNNNNNNNNNNNNNNNNNNNNNNNNNNNNNNNNNNNNNNNNNNNNNNNNNNNNNNNNNNNNNNNNNNNNNNNNNNNNNNNNNNNNNNNNNNNNNNNNNNNNNNNNNNNNNNNNNNNNNNNNNNNNNNNNNNNNNNNNNNNNNNNNNNNNNNNNNNNNNNNNNNNNNNNNNNNNNNNNNNNNNNNNNNNNNNNNNNNNNNNNNNNNNNNNNNNNNNNNNNNNNNNNNNNNNNNNNNNNNNNNNNNNNNNNNNNNNNNNNNNNNNNNNNNNNNNNNNNNNNNNNNNNNNNNNNNNNNNNNNNNNNNNNNNNNNNNNNNNNNNNNNNNNNNNNNNNNNNNNNNNNNNNNNNNNNNNNNNNNNNNNNNNNNNNNNNNNNNNNNNNNNNNNNNNNNNNNNNNNNNNNNNNNNNNNNNNNNNNNNNNNNNNNNNNNNNNNNNNNNNNNNNNNNNNNNNNNNNNNNNNNNNNNNNNNNNNNNNNNNNNNNNNNNNNNNNNNNNNNNNNNNNNNNNNNNNNNNNNNNNNNNNNNNNNNNNNNNNNNNNNNNNNNNNCAGCAGAAAAAGCCAACUCGGAUUUUCAAGGUACGAUUUUUAGAAUACAAAUUCUUAUAUAUUAUAUGAGAGCGAUCUUCAAAAGGUUUUAUAAAAAUUUAAAAACCUAAUUUUUCCCCAAUAAUUGGUAUCAGAGACAUCUCAUAUUAAUAUAUAUGAAUUUCGUAUGAAAUUAAUCUUGAAAUUUAUGUAUUAGAGUGGCAUAUUUUAUUCAGAUAUAUAUUAUUUGUUUAAUAUAUGAAUAAAGCAUGUUGUGGUUUGUCUUGAUUCAUGGUUAGAUUUUUCGAUGUAUUUUUUUCGUUUGGAUCUGUAACAAGAGGGGUGGCUUUUCAUCACCACGUUUCCCUCUUGAUUUAAUUAACUAUUAUAGAAUUUUUGUAAGCAAAAAAUUGGCAUCGGAAAUUUGUAAAACGCUGGAAAUUUCACCCGCUGCAAUCGCAUAAUAGUAGAACGCACUGCAGACAGCAACGAGGCCGGUAACGAACGCGCACACGAAGUCAGCUGCUUGCGCGUGCGAGUCCAGCAGCUAGCGUGCGCGCACGGCCAGCAAUGGCUAGCAGCGCACGCUGCCAGCAAUGGCCAGCAGCGCGUGCUGCACGCGCAGCUAGCUUCCCACGCGGCUUUGGUACGUUUCCGGCAAAGUGGCAGCGGUUGGUUCGGCGUCGGACAUGGAUGAAUUAUUGACUGGUUUUUGGAGAUGGCGGCUGGGGAAGAAGAAAGAAAGAAAAAUAUGAUUUUAGGGUUUCAUGAUUUUUAUCAUGGAGGGUCCUAUGGUUUCAUAAUUUUUUCUUUGGGCAGAUACGUUUUAAUUUUUUGCAUUUAAGUCCAAAAACACUUUUGGACUUAAAGAAUCAUAGUUUUAGGCCCAAUUGUAAUUUGGGCUUAAUGGAUUAAAAAAAUGCAUAGACAAAAUUAAAUACAUUAAAUUUAUUUUUGGUCCAAAAGUUUUAUUUUAAUAAAAAAAAAUUAUUUAUUUAUUUAUUUCUUUUCAAAAUUAAAAUUGGACCAAUUAUAAAUUUAAAAGCCCAAUUUNNNNNNNNNNNNNNNNNNNNNNNNNNNNNNNNNNNNNNNNNNNNNNNNNNNNNNNNNNNNNNNNNNNNNNNNNNNNNNNNNNNNNNNNNNNNNNNNNNNNNNNNNNNNNNNNNNNNNNNNNNNNNNNNNNNNNNNNNNNNNNNNNNNNNNNNNNNNNNNNNNNNNNNNNNNNNNNNNNNNNNNNNNNNNNNNNNNNNNNNNNNNNNNNNNNNNNNNNNNNNNNNNNNNNNNNNNNNNNNNNNNNNNNNNNNNNNNNNNNNNNNNNNNNNNNNNNNNNNNNNNNNNNNNNNNNNNNNNNNNNNNNNNNNNNNNNNNNNNNNNNNNNNNNNNNNNNNNNNNNNNNNNNNNNNNNNNNNNNNNNNNNNNNNNNNNNNNNNNNNNNNNNNNNNNNNNNNNNNNNNNNNNNNNNNNNNNNNNNNNNGUAGAUUGAAAUAAUGGUUAUACACUCAACUAAAGUUUGUUAUUAACCUUCCCAACGAAGCUCUGUUAACAAAUUUAGGCCUAAAGGGAUAACGAUAAUUAUUUAUCAUGUCUUUACAUGAAAGUAAAUAAUCUAAUGGAUAAUUGGGUCUAGUAAGUGUUGACAUGACUUCCCCAACGGAUAGCUUGUCAAAGCGGUACUAGAUUAUCGUUACAAUAAAUUAAAAUGCAUUUAUGGUUUUUUGCAUUUUUGUCAUUUAUUGUGAAUAUUGUUUCAAAGUAUUUAUGCAUGUGUUUUUUUUUUUUUUCAGAAAAUGUCUUCCAUCAACCCAUUAUUAUUUAUCCUUGUUAAAAAUGAACUCACUGGCGAAAAUUAUUUAGAUUGGAAACGUAAUCUAUUUAAUAUUCUCACUGCUAAGGGAAGCAAAUAUGUGUUGACCCAGCCUUGCCCUCCUGAACCGUCGUUAUACGAUUAUAGAAAUCAGAGGGAGCCUUAUGAGAAAUGGUGCGAAGCUAACAAAAUGGCUAAGCGCUAUAUAUUGGCUUCGAUUUCUGUGGAACUGCAUAAGAAACAUCGGAGCAUGGAAACAGCCACUGAAAUUAUGGCUAGUCUUCAUCAGAUGUUUGGGCAAAAUACCCAUUUUGCCAGAGAAGCAGCAUUAAAACGUAUUACGGAUACUAAGUUGGAAGAGGGCAUAAAAGUUCGUGAUCAUGUCCUCAAAAUGAUGGACUAUUUGAAUGAGGUAGAGAUUCAUGGUGUUCAAAUCAAUGAUAAAUCAAAGAUUAACAUGGUGAUUGAAUCUUUACCUGAUACAUUCAAAGAGUUUAAGGUCAGUUAUAUCUUAAACAAUAAAGAUAUGACCUUAAUUGAAUUAAUGCACGAACUACAUGCUAUAGAAGAAUUUUAUAAUAGCAGAAAACUUCCUGAAAAAGGAUUCUCUUCAAGGCUUAAGUCAAAAGACAAGAAUGAGCAAGCAAGAGUUGGGAUCGGAAAACUGUCCACUAAAAGAAGUGGCAAGCCAAAAGGCAAGUGUCACAAAUGUGGACAGAAGGGUCACUGGAAGAAAGAUUGUCCUAAGAUUAUUAAAAUCAGGUAUAAGAAAUCUUUAAGCUUCCUAAUUAGUUCAGAUUUCUAUUGAUUCAUACAAUAAUGAAUUCUGAGAUAACUAAUCUUAUUUGUAAUUCAUUUAUUUGGUUUUCAGGAAACCAAGAGAUUAAGUGAAGAAAGCUUCAAACAGCAGUUGAGGACAUGCUAGUUUAUAUCAAUUGAAAGACUAGAUCAAUUUUACAAGACUUUAGUUUUGAUAUUUGUCUUUAUAUUAGAGGAAUUUAAUUUCGGUGGCUUGUUUUAAUAAACAGGAGUACACUAUUAUUUAUUAUUAAAAUCAGGUAUAGGAAAUCUUUAAGCUUCCUAAUUAGUUCAGAUUUCUAUUGAUUCAUACAAUAAUGAAUUCUGAGAUAACUAAUCUUAUUUGUAAUUCAUUUAUUUGGUUUUCAAGAAACCAAGAGAUUAAGAGAAGAAAGCUUCAAACAGCAGUUGAGGACGUGCUAGUUUAUAUCAAUUGAAAGACUAGAUCAAUUUUACAAGACUUUAGUUUUGAUAUUUGUCUUUAUUUUUCCAAAUAUUAGAGGAAUUUAAUUUCGGUGGCUUGUUUUAAUAAACAGGAGUACACUGUUAUUUAUGGAUCCUCUGUUUAUUACUUAUUUUUGUUAUUUAUAAAGACAAUUUAUAUCAUAGAAGUACAUUGAUCUAUUCAAAGUAAGAUAUAAUGAUAAAAAGUAUAUGCAUUUAUCUAAGAAAAGAAAUGUUACUUCUAACCAAAAAAUCACCUCUGAUAUUUAUGCUUAAGUCAUAUAAACUAUAAUAAGAUUUUAAGAAAAUGAUUAAUGAUAGACUUGUUGGCCUAUUAAGAUUGAUCAUUGUAACUCUAUAAAUCUUAUUUAGAAAAGUAAUAUGACAAGGAUACUCUUUAUGAGCUAAAAGCAUAACAUUGUAUUUGAUGAUUUAGCGCAUACAAAUGUAUACGGACAAAUCAUGAAUAUUCAUUUUAUUUAUGUUUGUCUAAAUGCGUCAUUAUUCCAUUGCUUUUGAAAUUCAAAAGAGUACGUGGAUAAGACAGAAGCAAUUAGACAGGAACAUAAAAGAAUUUCGAUAUGAUCGAAACAAAGAAUAUCUCUAUGGAGAAUUCAAGCACUAUUUGGUUGUCAAUGAACACUAUGAUACUAUAGUGUAAUUAAAUGGAGAAACAAGAUUCUUUUGGAUAAGAUAAGAUAUAUACUAAGUGGUUUAUCAUUUACCUUUUUGAUUCCAGAUACUAGUAUUUGAAACUACAAAGUUUAUUGAACUUAGUUUCAUCUAUCUCGGUGUCUACUACUCCAAGAAAUUAUGAAAAAGUCACAAACAUAGUUUGAGACACAUUCGUAUUUGGAGUUUACUAGAAUCAGAGAUAGAGAAGAUGGAUUCGUGUUCAGAAGCUUGCAUGUUUUAGGUAUCUUAAAGGAAUAAGGGAAAAUCUAAAUUAUAGUCCUCAAGAUAGGAAUGUAUUUAUAGAAAUAUUCUUUACUUUCUUUGAGGAAGACUAUAUAAUGACUUAUAACCUAAGAGUAAGGUAAAACUAGAGAAAUAAAAGAGAUCAGAUUGAUGCUCAGCUUUCAACACUUGUUAUAGAACAGGAAGAACAGCAACAACCAGCUGAUCAGUACAGGAUUAUCCGUGAACAACCAUCACUUUUAGAACCUCGUCGUAGUGGGAGGGUAACUAGGUUACCUGCGAGAUACAUGCUUUUGGGAGAAACCUAUACGGCUAUCUCAGAUGAACAUGUACAAGAUCCCACUAGUUACAACGAAGCUCUAAUAGAUAGAGAUGUUGAAUUUUGAAAAAGGCCAUGAAUCAAGAAAUGGAAUCUAUGUAUUCCAAUAAAGUCUGGGAACUUGUAGAGGCGCGAAAUGGGGUAAAACCUAUAGGGUGCAAGUGGAUCUACAAGAGAAAAAGAGGAGUAGACGGAAAGGUGGAAACAUUUAAAGCAAAAUUAGUAGCCGAAGGGUUUACUCAGAAAGAAGGAAUCAAUUAUAACGAAACCUUUUCUCCGGUUGCUAUGCUUAAAUCCAUCAGGAUUCUGCUCUCCAUUACUGCAGUGCUAGAUUAUGAAAUUUGGCAAAUGGAUGUCAAGACUGCCUUUUUUAAUGGGCAUCUUGAAGAAAACAUCUACAUACAGCAACCAGAUGGAUUUAUACAAAAAGGCCAAGAACACAUGGUAUGUAAGUUGUAGAGAUCUAUUAAUGGAUUGAAGCAAGCAUCCCGGUCAUGGAACAUCAGAUUUGAUCAAGCGAUUAAAUCGCUUGAAUUCAUUCAGAACAUUGAUAAACCAUGUGUGUACAAGAAAAUUCAGGAAAAAUUUGUAGCCUUCCUAGUUCUUUGUGUAGACAAUAUUCUUCUAAUUGGAAACGAUAUAGAAGUGUUGACUACAAUAAAGAGUUGGUUAGCAAAACAAUUUGAUAUGAAAGACCUGGGAGAGGCAAGUUAUAUUCUUGGUAUCAAGUUACUACGAGACCGGAAGAAUAAAACUUUAGCCUUGUCUCAAGCGGUCUAUAUCAAUAAGAUAUUGGCUAGAUUUAGCAUGGAAAAAUUCCAAGACUGGUUUAUUACCAUUCAGACAUGGAAUUACAUUCUCUAAGGAUCAAUAACCUAAAACAUCUUAAGAGAUAGAGAGAAUGAGACGAGUUCCCUAUGCAACAGCUGUGGGAAGUCUCAUGUAUGCCAUGUUUUGCACUAGGCCAGACAUCUAUUUUGCGAUAGGGAUGGUUAGUCUAAUCCUGGACCUGAACACUGGACUGCGGUCAAGCAUAUAAUGAAGUAUCUGAAAAGAACUUAAAAUUAUAUGCUUGUGUAUUCUGGUGAUAAACUUAUUCUAGUUGGUUAUACUAAUUCUGAUUUUUUGUCAGAUAAGGAUUUUAGAAAAUCAACUUCCGGCUAUGUGUUUACAGCAGUGCUAGAUUAUGAAAUUUGGCAAAUGGAUGUCAAGACUGCCUUUCUUAACGGGCAUCUUGAAGAAAAUAUCUACAUGCAGCAACCAGAUGGAUUUAUACAAAAAGGGCCAAGAACAUAUGGUAUGCAAGUUGCAGAGAUCCAUUUAUGGAUUGAAGCAAGCAUCCCGGUCAUGGAACAUCAGAUUUGAUCAAGCGAUUAAAUCGCUUGGAUUCAUUUAGAACAUUGAUGAACCAUGUGUGUACAAGAAAAUUCAGGAAAAAUUUGUAGCCUUCCUAGUUCUUUGUGUAGACAAUAUUCUCCUGAUUGGAAACGAUAUAGGAGUAUUGACUACAAUAAAGAUUUGGUUAGCAAAAUAAUUUGAUAUGAAAGACCUGGGGGAGGCAAGUUAUAUUCUUGGUAUCAAGUUACUUCGAGACCGGAAGAAUAAAACUUUAGUCUUGUCUCAAGCGGUCUAUAUCGAUAAGAUAUUGGCUAGAUUUAGCAUGGAAAAUUCCAAGACUGGUUUAUUACCAUUCAGACAUGGAAUUACAUUCUCUAAGGAUCAAUCACCUAAAACAUCUGAAGAGAUAGAGAGAAUGAGACGAGUUCCCUAUGCAACAGCUGUGGGAAGUCUCAUGUAUGCCAUGUUUUGCACUAGGCCAGACAUCUAUUUUGCGAUAGGGAUGGUUAGUCUAAUCCUGGACCUGAACACUGGACUGCGGUCAAGCAUAUAAUGAAGUAUCUGAAAAGAACUUAAAAUUAUAUGCUUGUGUAUUCUGGUGAUAAACUUAUUCUAGUUGGUUAUACUAAUUCUGAUUUUUUGUCAGAUAAGGAUUUUAGAAAAUCAACUUCCGGCUAUGUGUUUACAUUGGGAAGUGGAGCUAUUAGUUGGAUAAGUGUGAAACAAUCUUGUAUCACAGACUCAAUAACUAAAGCUGAAUAUGUGGCUACAUCUGAAGUUGCAAAAGAAGCUAUAUGGUUCUGCAAGUUCCUACGAAAUCUUGAGGUGGUACAUGUUGUAACUGCACCCCUUAAAAUAUUUUGUGAUAAUGGUGGUGCGGUAGCUCAAUCUAAGGAACCAAGGAACCACAAGAAACAAAACAUAUUGAAAGGGAAUAGUGUAGAAUGGUCUGCUAGUGUAGAAAGGUUAUAUAAAAGUUAUUUAUGUGAUAAUGGUGGUGCGGUAGCUCAAUCUAAGGUACCAAGGAACCACAAAGGAAGUAUCAUCUUAUAAGGGAAUAGUGUAGAAUGGUUAUAUGAAAGUACCCCAAAUGGCAUUAGAUGCUAAAUGGCAGAUCUUAUUACAAUGGCCAUUAGUGGGAAACCUUUAUAACCUGCACUUAGAGCCCUAGACCAUGUGCAAUAAGCCAGAUAUGCUUUGAGAGCUAGUGGGAGAUUGUUGGGAAAAUAUGCUCUUUAAAAGCAUAUGUGUUUAUUUAAUUGUAAUAAACAAUUUUUCUGAUUAAUAAAAUAAAUGAGGUAUUUUAUUCAAAUAUCUUAAUUGCAUUAAUAUUUGUAUUAAAGUCCAUUUAAUCAUAUUAUAUGUAUUUAUGUGAUCACCAUGUGGAUUCACAGAAGACAUAAAUACAAGUUAUCUUAUGAUUAAAUAAAUUUAGUUCGCAGUUGAUAAAUAAAGUUGGGCACUUUAUUUAGGUAUAGACUGUAAUAAAUUCAUUGAAUGAUUUAUCUUAAUCAUGUAUGAAUUUAUUGAUGUAGUACAACUACAUUGAACAGGAUCACAUAUGAGAUUUAAUGAACCUUGAAAUGAUUGUCAGACUUAUUAAAUCUCAUAGGCAUUGAUUUUACUAUAAUCUUAAUCUUGAGUUAAUUAUAAUUUUAUGAUUGUAAUUGUUAUUCCAUUUGAGUUACCAAUGGACAUGACACAUACUUGUAGUCUAGAUUACCCGGUAUCUUGGUGGGAACAAUUAUGAGUAUUGGAGUUAUGGAUUAACAAUAAAGAANNNNNNNNNNNNNNNNNNNNNNNNNNNNNNNNNNNNNNNNNNNNNNNNNNNNNNNNNNNNNNNNNNNNNNNNNNNNNNNNNNNNNNNNNNNNNNNNNNNNNNNNNNNNNNNNNNNNNNNNNNNNNNNNNNNNNNNNNNNNNNNNNNNNNNNNNNNNNNNNNNNNNNNNNNNNNNNNNNNNNNNNNNNNNNNNNNNNNNNNNNNNNNNNNNNNNNNNNNNNNNNNNNNNNNNNNNNNNNNNNNNNNNNNNNNNNNNNNNNNNNNNNNNNNNNNNNNNNNNNNNNNNNNNNNNNNNNNNNNNNNNNNNNNNNNNNNNNNNNNNNNNNNNNNNNNNNNNNNNNNNNNNNNNNNNNNNNNNNNNNNNNNNNNNNNNNNNNNNNNNNNNNNNNNNNNNNNNNNNNNNNNNNNNNNNNNNNNNNNNNNNNNNNNNNNNNNNNNNNNNNNNNNNNNNNNNNNNNNNNNNNNNNNNNNNNNNNNNNNNNNNNNNNNNNNNNNNNNNNNNNNNNNNNNNNNNNNNNNNNNNNNNNNNUUUUUCGUGCUAGUUGCUUUGGUAGUGAUAAAGGCGUCUACACGUCAAGUGCAGAUCGAACCUGAGUCAUAACCUGGAAGAUCAUUGGUGACAGUUCGUGAUCUAACAAGCGUGGUGGUGACGGAUCGUGAUCUAACAGGAGUGGUGGUGGCGGAUCGUGAUCUAGGAGCCUAAAUCACUUCAGCGGAAAAAGCCAACUCGGAUUUUCAAGGUACGAUUUCUAGAAUACAAAUUCUUAUAUAUUAUAUGAGAGCGAUCUUCAAAAGGUUUUAUAAAAAUUUAAAAACCUAAUUUUUCCCCAAUAGAAUUGUCAUUGGCACAAUUCACAAGAGCCUUGUACAAUUGGUUUGGUGAAUUAGAAGAACCUGAUGCAGGGGGAGGUCUUUCCAAAUUUCAAGAAAUCGAAUAGUGAGAGGUUAUCAGGUGCAGUUUAAUGGCUUGCCAAUCGAACCAAGGGGUUACCAGAGAUAAUUCUUAUUACUUGCUUUCUCUUCAGCCUUCGUGAUGAAGUAUGUGUUGGAGUUCAAAUGUUGAGACCAUAUUCUUCGUCAAGCCUUUGAACCAAAUUCAAGGAGAGUCUGCAUCAAUAAUGGGUAAGAAAAUAUCUUCUCGCCCAAAUUUAAAUCGUUCGAUGCCUGUACUUAGUUGUCCUUGCCCAAGCAGCUUCUAUAUCACAAGCUAAUAGCUCCACGCCUUCAUUAUUGGGACCAGCUCCUCCAGGAUUGCUAUCAUUUCGAUGACUUUCUACGAAAGAACAAGCUGAACGGUGUGCUGAAGGCCAUUGCGUCAAUUUUUUGACGAGCAAUUCAAGCGUGGGCAUAAUUGCAAAAAAUUCUCAACUUUUGCUUUUGGAAGCUAAUAUACCUGAAUACGAGGAAGAGAGUGCUGAGGCUGAGAAUGAGAAGUCGCCACAGGUAGAAAUAUCCAUUAAUUCGCUCACUGGAUAUUUUUCAUGUUUUACAAUACGCCUUAUUGGAUAUCCAUUAAUUUUAGUGGAUUCCGGGUCAACUUACUGCUUCUUGAAUCCCUCCCUGGCUAAGCAAUAUGGUUGUCAAGUUGCUUCUACCAACCAAUUCAGAGUCACCAUGGCCGAUGGCGGCAUUUCAAUGGUAAUGGUAAACAUUUGAAUGUUUCACUUGAUAUUCAACGCUUUCUUUUCUAGCCAAAUUUUUUUCUUCUCCCUGUUCGUGGAUGUGAUACUGUGUUGAGAGGAUCACUGGCCACAACCUUUGGGUGCUAUCACAUGGGAUUUAUCUAAACUUACUAUGCAAAUAUAAUUGGGACCAAAAAUAGAUUUAGUCAGCAGGUCAUGGCUCUUUAGCAUAUUUAAGGAACUACCUAGUCUUUCUCCUCAUCGUUCUCGUGACCACCACAUGUAUUAGUUCCAGGCAGCUCACCGGUAAAUGUUCAUCCUUACAGGUUAUAUCCACAUUUCCAAAAGAAUGAGAUUGAAAAAAAUGGUGCAAGAAAUGCUAGCUGCCGGAUUAAUUAGGCUAAGUAUCAGCCUUUAUUCAUAUCCUGCAUUGUUGGUUAAUAAAAAAGAUGGUUCGUGGCGUAUGUACUUUGAUUACAGUGCUCUUAUACAAAAUUACUAUAAAAGAUAGGUUUCCAAUUCUGGCUAUUGAUGAGCUCUCGGAUGAAUUGCAUGGUGAUACUCUUUUCAUAAAAUUGGAUCUUCGAUCAGGUUAUCACCAAUCUCAUGCACAUGAUACUGAUAUUGCUAAAAUAGCUUUCCGCACUAAUGAAUCAUGAUGGCCAUUAUGAAUUCUUAGUAAUGCCAUCUUUGUAAGCAUACGUCUGAAUAAUAUAUAACAUGCUCUGAAAAUUAAAUGCGGAAGUUUUAGAACCUAACCUCUUGCCAUUGAUGUGUCCUUUACAACUAUUUACUUUCCGAUUUUGAUACUUAUGUAGUUUCAGUAAUCAGUAAUGAUGGUGUAGUUUUUGUUUUCUUUUUUAUUACAAGCUACUAGAGACCAAAACCAUUUCACCGUCUCUUUAUAUUAUCAUCUUUCCAUCAAAGAUGAAGUGAUGGCAGUUAUAAUUAGCUAUCAUAACAUCUAACAGCUAACUCUAAACCUAGCAGAAUUAAUGUCAAUGAAAUGUUGGUCCACAUUGAUCCGCAUACUAGAGACUUCUUUUAGAAAAAACACCUCAACAGCCAGGUGUCCAACAUUCUCCCACUUGGUCUAAACAUUUCACUUGAUUUGAUAUCAAUUCAUUAGAUUUAAUAAAUAUAAUACAUGAAUCAUAGCGAUAGGUCCUCUAAGAACGAGUAUUAUCUUCCAUGUAUUACAAUGAUAACUUAACUUAAUGAAUAAACCCAUGUUUAUUCUUAAUCCAAUAAAAUUGAUAUUUUCUCAAUAUAAAUAAAUGUGCAGAUAAAGAUGAGAAAACAUCACAAUAAACGCAAACCAAGAGUCUCAUUUAUAUUACAUUGCAUAUACAAUGAAAAUUACAUAAUGGAACCAAGUCCCAUUCGGUCUAUAUGAUCCUUAAACUUUUGUGGUGGCAUGCCCUUUGUUAAAGGAUUAGUAAUCAUCAAUUCAGUGUUAACGUGUUCAAUGACCACUUUCUUUUCUUUAACACGUUCCCUUAUAGCUAAAUAUUUAAUGUCGAUGUGUUUACUUCGAUUUCCAUUUUUGUUAUUUUUAGCCAUGAAAACUGUAGCUGAAUUAUCACAAUAUAUCCUCAACGGCAUUGAGAUUGAAUCCACAAUUCUAAGCCCAGAUAUGAAACUCUUUAACCAUACACCAUGCAAAGUAGUCUCAAAACAAGAAACGAACUCAGCCUCCAUAGUGGAAGUAGCAGUCAAAGUUUGCUUUGUAUUUCUUCAAGAUAUAGCUCUAUUGGUGAGCAUAAAAAUAUAUCCAAAUGUUGAUUUUCGUGAAUCAACACAGCCAGCAAAGUCUGAAUCGGAGUAGCCAAUUACCUCCAAAUUAUCAAUUCGUCUAUACAUAAGCAUGUAAUCCUUGGUGCCUUGAAGGUGCCUCAUUACUUUCUUUGCAACUUUCCAAUGGUCUAAACCUGGAUUACUCUGAUAUCUUCCCAAGAUUCCAAAAGCAAAUGCUAUGUCAGGUCUUGUACAAAUUUGAGCAUACAUCAAGCUUCCAACAGUAGAUGCAUAAGGAAUAUUUUUCAUUUGUUCCCUUUCAAAAUCAUUUUUGGGGCAUUGGUACAAAUUGAACCUGUCACCCUUCACAAUGGGAGCUAUACUAGGUGAACAAUUUUUCAUCUGAAAUCUCUCUAAGACCUUGUUGAUAUAAGUUUCUUGAGACAGACUCAAAAUUCCCUAAAAUCUGUCUCUAUGGAUCUUAAUGCCUAUGACAUAAGAUGCAUCACCCAUAUCCUUCAUGUCGAUUCUCAUAGAGAAAUUAUUUUAUUUCACAAAGCAACCCUUUAUUGUUGGAUGCAAGCAGAAUAGCAUCUAAUAUAGAAUAAGGAAACAAAUCUUACUCCCACUGAUCUUCUGGUAUAUACAAAUCUUACUCCCACUAAUAAAGAGAUAACAUCAUGAAAUUUUAAAUACCACUGACGGGAAGCUUGUUUCAAUCUAUAUAUAGAUUUCUUAAACUUGCAUACCAAAUGCUCACCAUCACUAGAGGAGAAUCAUUCUGGUUGUUUCAUAUAAGCCUCUUCCUCUAGAUCUCCAUUAAGAAAGGUUGUUUUCACAUCUAUUUGAUGCAGUUCCAAAUCAAAAUUAGCAACUAAUGACAUAAUGAUACGAAAAGAAUCUUUCUUUGAUAUAGGAGAAAAAGUCUCCUUGUAAUCGAUUCCUUUUAUCUGAGUGAAUCCUUUAGCAAUGAGUCUUGCUUUAUAUAUUUCAAUGUUGCCUAAUGAGUCUUUCUUUGUCUUAAAGAUCCAUUUACAUCAUAUGGCUUUUACACCAUUAGGCAACUCAACAAGAUCUCAGACUCCGUUGGAUGACAUAGAAUUCAUCUCUUCCUUCAUAGCAUCAUACUAUAAAUAUGAUUCUUUGGAAUUCAUGGCUUGAGAAACAGAUUCAUGAUCAUUUUUUGCUCUAAUAUUAUAGUCAGAUUCUUGCAGAUACACUUUAUAAUCACUAGAAAUUACUAGUUUCUUUAUUCUAGUAGAUAUUCUUAAUGUUGGACUAAUAUUCUCCUGAGGAGCAUGUUGUUCAACUAGUUGCUCAAGGGUUUUAAGUAAUUCCUAAGUAGCCUGAUCUACUGGAUUAUUAUCAGCAACUUGUAGAACUUCAACAAUUGGUUGCACAACACCUGUUUGAACUUGAGGAGUGUUGUGAAUAACAAUCAAUCUAUCACUUGAGGUGGAAGGUUGAGCAUCUGAAUUACUUUUUUAGAAAUAAUAUUCUGAGAUCGAUCACUCCCACUAAUUAAGUCAUUUUCAAGAAAAUUUUCAUUUCUUGAUUCCACAAUUCUAGUGCUAUUAGAUGGACAAUAAAAUAUGUACCCUUUAGACCUUUCAGUAUAUCCAAUGAAAUACUCACUAAUGGUCCUUGGGUCCAGCUUCUUUUCUUGAAGAUUGUAGAUUCUCACUUCAAACGGGCAUCCCCAAACACGUAUAUGUCGCAAACUCGAUUUCCAACCUUUCCAUAACUCAAAUUGCGUUUUAGAAACCUCCUUAGUUGGAACUCGAUUUAAUAUAUACACAGCCGUUUUGAGAGCUUCAGUCCAUAAGGAUUUAGGAAGUUUAGAGCCAUUAAGCAUACGGUGCACUAUGUCUAGAAAAGCUUGAUUUCUUCUUUCUGCUACACCAUUCAGGUAUGGAGAAUUAGGAAUAGUGUAUUGGGCAAUAAUCUCAUGUUAUUGAAGAAACUUCGCAAAUGGACCAGGCACUUGUCCAUCCUCAAUGUAUCUACCAUAAUAUUCUCCACCUCUAUCUGUUCUCACGAUCUUAAUUUGUUUUCUGCACUGUUUCUCUACUUCUGCUUUAAAUAUCUUAAAAGCAUCUAAUGCUUCAUUUUUAUUGUUAAGUAAGUAGAGAUACAUAUAACGUGAAUAAUCAUCUAUAAAAGAGAUGAAGUAUUUCUGACCAUAUGAGUUCAUGUCCAGACUACAAAUAUCUAAAUGUAUGAUUUCUAAUAUUUUUGAACUCCUCUGAGCACCUUUAUUUCUCUUGUUGGUCUGCUUUCUUUUUAUGCAGUUCACACAAGUAUCAAAAUCAGUAAAAUCCAAAGUAUUAAGUACUCCAUCAUUUAUUAAUCUUUUGAUUCUUUCUAUGGAGAUAUGACCGAGUCUCUGAUGCCACAAAAUAGAGUAUUUUUCAUUUAUAACACACCAUUUAAUACCAUUAUGGACAUGCAUUGAAGUAUAAGAGGUAUUGUUUUACAAAUUAAGGCGAAAAAGACCAUCAGACAAUGUACCAUUCCCAACAAGUUCAGAUUUAUAAUAUACAUUACAAAACUUAUUUGUAAUAUUAAAGGAAAAACCGAGUGGUACAAGUUUUGAAACUGAAACCAAGUUUUUAGAAAAACUUGGAACAUAAAAUGUUUUUUCCAAAAUUAAAAUAAAACCACUGCUCAAAAUCAAACUGCAUGUUCCGAUUGCCUCAACAUGUGAACGCAUCUUGUUACCAAAAAAGAUGCAUUGUUCACUUAUCACUAGCUUCCUUAGGUUUUGCAAAUCCUGCAAGGUAUUCGUUACAUGGAUUGUAGAACCAGAGUCAAUCCACCAUGUGUUAUUAUUAACAUCAACCAUAUUAGAUUCAUAACAAACAAAAAAGAUUGAUUUACCUUCCUUCUUAAGUCAUUUAUGAAAUUUGGGACAAUCAUUCUUCACCUUUCUUUUUACAGAAAAAACACUUGGAUUGUUUUUUAAUUUCUUCCUGGGGAGUUAUUUUACCUUUCCCUUUCUCCUUGGCUUGAAGCUUAUACUUUCCUUGUAUUACAAUGCAUGCUCCUUUACCAACUUCCAUUAUCAGCCUCUCUUCCUCUUGAACACACAUGGUCAUUAAUUCAUUAAUUGACCAUUUAUCCUUAUGCAUGUUAUAGAAAAUUUUAAAAGGCCCAUACUGCUGUGGAAGUGUAUUCAGUAUGUAAUGCACAAGAAAGGUUUCGGACAUAUCAACCUCAAGUAGUUUUAACUGAAUCAUAAUGUCCCUCAUCUGCAUGAUGUGUUCACGUACACCUCUAACAUUGGUGACCUUCAUGGAUGAAAAUUUCAUUAUUAGGAUACUUUUAAGUGCCUUAGCAGCAGAGAUUUUAGUCUUUAUAAACAUCACACUGAGGCGAUUAGAUUGCUCCCAUUUGUCAGAAAGAGCAAUAUCGACUUCAGUGUUGUUAUCAUCAAUAAGUGGUUCGUCUUUUCGAAUAGCAUAAUCAAUAUCCAUCCACCCUAAAUGAAGAAGAAUUCUCUCAUUCCAAACUUUAUAAUUAUCACCAUUUAACUUGGGAAUAUCACACUUGAUUUCAAAAAAACUGAAUGUACAACUACAUUAAAUUAAAACGCAUGCUUGUAUUAUAAAUUUAGGCUAAUAUAGAGAUAUCAUGUUUUACCAAUGUAAAUCAUGUUACAAAAUAUGAAUCAAAUGACAUAAAACUUGCAUGUGGGCUAAAGUUCUAAUUCAAGUAGAUUCACAUAUAUCUUUAUAAUAAAACUAUCAAACCAUAUUCCAGUUCUUAAUUCAUGUGGGUACAUGAAGAAAAUAGUUUGAUAUUUUAUCCUAAUUAAAUAUACAAGUAUAAUAUAAAUUCAUGUGGGAAAAAUACAUUAUAUUAAAUAUGUUUAAUCACAAUUAAUGCCAUUAUAUUAUAUGUGAUCUAAAAAUACUUAAUAUAUAAUUUUACAUAAUUAAGGAUGCUGUGGUCACUCCAUAAUUAAUUAAAAUCAUAUUAGAUCACUUGACAUUACUUUAUUUUAUUUUUAUUUAUUCAAAAUUGUAUGCAUCAACAAUUAAAUCAAAAUAAUGCAUAUAAAUUAUAAUAUGACAUUGUCACAUUGGUAGUUACAUGUGAAUAGUAUUUCUAGAAGUCAAAUAUAACAAAAAUACCCUAAAUUUAUGUUGUUUAACAUUUACACACGUGCAAAUGACAAAUCGUACACAAAUAAACCACAGUCAUGUAACAAACAGAUGACAUGUCAUCGCAUACAACAUUUGGAUGACAAGUAGUCUGUAAAUUCUUAAAGCAUACGACAUGUCAUGUGUGCAUAACCUAUUGCCGUUUUAGACAACUAAAAAUAUGACAUGUCGUUUAUUUCAUCUACAUCAAACGACAUGUCAUCCAACUUUGUCUUCAACCUCCAACCGGGUCUUACUAUUCAUAUUUCAACCCGAAUGACCCGUUUUAUAGAUCUGACUUUAUUUAUGAUUUACCAACACCAAAUUAAAUGUUUCAAACCAUAAAACCAUUAGGAAUUCAUUUCCUCAUGAUUUACAACAAUUAUAAUCACUAUAACAUGUAAAAAAAAAAUAACUUUAAGUUUACAAAAAUAAAUUCGGGUAAUUUUUGCAUAUAUCACAAAGAGCAUAACACAUCAAGAUAAAGCAUGACACUUGCUUUGAUAUCAAAUGUAAGCAUAUUUCUGAAUAAUACAUAACAUGCUCUGAAAAUUAAAUGCGGAAGUUUUAGAACCUAACCUCCAGCCAUUGAUGUGUCCUUUACAACUAUUUGUUUUUCGAUUUUGAUACUUCUGUAGCUUCAGUAAUCGGUAAUGAUGGUGUAGUUUUUGUUUUCUUUUUUAUUACAAGCUGCCAGAGGCCAAAACCAUUUCACCAUCUCCUUAUAUUAUCAUAUUUCCAUCACAGAUGAAGUGAUGAUAAUUAUAAUUAGCUAUCAUAACAUCUAACAACUAGCUCCAAACGUGGCAGAAUUAAUGUUAAUGAAAUGUUGGUCCACAUUGGUCCACACACUAGAGACUUCUUUUAGAAAAAAAAACACCUCAACAGCUAGGUGUCCAACAUUCUGCUCUUACUAGUGCACCUGUAACUUUCCAAAAUUUGAUGAAUGAAGUAUUGCGACCUAACCUUCAACGGCUUGUCUUCUCCUUUUUUUUUUUCAAAUGAUGUUCUUGUAUACAAUUGUUGCCUUAUAGAUCAUGUUUAACACCUUUUUACAGUUCUGCAUUGCCUUAAAAAACACUAGGUUUUUUGUGAAGUUUUCUGAAUGUUCUUUUGCUACAUCUUCCGUUGAAUAUCUAAGGCAUGUUGUGUCAGCCGCAGUGUGGCAGCAGAUCCUAAGAAAAUUGAGUGUAUGAUUGAUUGGUUCGGGAUUCAAAAUUUGGAUCCAGAUAUGCAUUGCUAUAUUGAGGAUGCGGGUAAUAAUCGUAUCGAUUCUAGGCAGAUAUUUCAUGUAUUUGAAUCCGCUUGCAUUACAUAUUUUAUUUCAAAUUUUGAAAGUUAGAACUUUUAUUUUUUAAUCAAAAUGUCCUCCAUGAAUUCUAUAAAUUGGCUUUAUAAUUUCAUUUCUAAAACAAACCAAAAUUCAAGUGAUUUUUACUCCUCUCUCAAAUAAAUUCUCCUAGCUUCAAGCUUCAAUGUGAUAGAGUCCAAUUACUAGUUUGAAAUUCACAUAAUUGUAAAGUUGCGCAAUCAAGACUAUUCGAAUCCUGAGAGAUAAAUACCAAUAUAACCUAAGCACCACUGAGAAGGUGGCAAAUUUAUUUUAUGGACUUGUAACUUUGUAGGCCUUAUUUUAUUUUUUUUUUGGUUUUACCUAUUGUCUUGAUUUAUAAUAAAUUAAUGUUAUUCCAAUUUUCUUUUUCUAAACUUGCGAUAUGCAUAAAUGGCUUAUUAGUAAGCUUAAGUACUCUAAGAAGGUUCUAUUGUUUAUAACCUUUUUAGUCUUUCCUAGGAACCAAACUUGUAUAUUUUUGCAAACCUGAACUAUCUUAUAUCACUUACUAAUUUAUAUCCCUUAUUAAUAGUGAUUUUAACAAUCUUAAAAUAGAUUGUGAAUUAUUGCAAUGGCAACUAAUAAAAAUAAGCUAGCUGGAAGUUUUAAGGCUACUCCUAUGACGUUUACUGUCUCUAGUGUUGUUGUUGCCUUUUCGAUUGCUCUUGUUAAUGAUUUAGGAUGGGAAAACCAAUCACCAAUUGCAAAAAUUCAUGUAUCAUUCCAUGAAUUUCCAAAAGAUUUAUUUUUAUUAAUUGAAGGAGAAGAGUUAGUAGAAGAACAAACAUAGAACCUACCUUUAAACGAGGAUGUUUGAGGGCAUUAGGAAUGUUCAUUUGUUUAUGAAGUUAUUAAAGAUAUACAAAAGAUACAUGGAUUUUUGUUUGUGAAAUUCAUGUAUCAUUCCAUGAAUUUCCAAAAGAUUUAUUUUUAUUAAUUGAAGGAGAAGAGUUAGUAGAAGAACAAACAUAAAACCUACCUUUAAAAGAGGAUGUUUGAGGGCAUUAGGAAUGUUCAUUUGUUUAUGAAGUUAUUAAAGAUAUACAAAAGAUACAUGGAUUUUUGUUUGUGAAAUUCAUGUAUCAUUCCAUGAAUUUCCAAAAGAUUUAUUUUUAUUAAUUGAAGGAGAAGAGUUAGUAGAAGAACAAACAUAAAACCUACCUUUAAAAGAGGAUGUUUGAGGGCAUUAGGAAUGUUCAUUUGUUUGUGAAGUCAUUAGAGAUAUACAUGCCUAUCAUGCCACAUCAAACAUUAUGGACUAAACUGUUCUAGAGAGUAUGUCCAAAGUAAUUUAGCAUGUAAAUGAGGAAAGGAUGGGAAGGUAAUCUCUCUCUCUCUCUCUCUCUCUCUCUCUCUCUCUCUCUCUCUCUCUCUCUCUCUCUCUCUCUCACGAGGAGAAAUCUAUCAUUAUUUAAAGAGAAUAAGUUGUAUGAAGCUCGAGCUCAUUCCCUUAGCAUAAUAAGUAACUCUUGGAACUUACUAUUAUUUUUUGGAAAAGGUCAAUUAUAAAAAUGUAAGAAUCGAUUUAAAGUAACUCUUUUUUCACUUAAUAAUUUAUCGAACAAAAAGCAAUAAAAAAGCUUCUUAUUCAUAGACACUUAACAAUCGUUUAAACAUCAACUAGAAAGCUCUUAUCAAAUAUGUAGAUUUUAUUUCUUUAGUUUUACUUAUUUGGCUUUCACGUUCAGAAGUCCCACCUAGUUAACGAAAAGUAUAAAUUAUAUUUAAAGCAUUAACAAAAGGCAAUUGUUGUUAUUAUGCAAGAGAAAAGAAUUUUGAAGAAAAGUUUUUAAAAAAUGGGUUUUUGCUUUUGACAAAAAUAAUAAGCAUUUAGUAGAGGUUUCUAUUGAUUUUCUGAAAGCUUCUUUUUAAACACGGAUUCUGUUGGCCCAUUUAGCCAUUAAUUUGUUAAGAAACCAUUUUUGGGCGUGAGUUAGGAGUUUAAAAAUACUUUUAACCAACAUGUUUUUAGAAUCAGUUUAAUAAACUUUGAAAAGCCAACUUUUGAGAAUUCACUGUAUAUAGGCGGGAAACUAGUGACAUAUAUUCUGAUGGUUAACCCGAAUGGAAACUAUAUUAGUUUUCAUUGUUAGUCGAACAAGCCACAUACAAGUUUUCCCAUAGCCCCGACUUUUCCUUUUCUUUGUUUUUUUGGUAUCAAAGCACCUCUUUUGUUCUUGUUUUAAAUAUUUUUAUAUGAGCAGUUACAAGGCAGACUUUGUUGACUUUAUAAUGUAUUUCUACAAUUGUUAAAUUUACUUGAAAAAUUUUAUAAAAAUUCAUUCGCUGUUUUAGAAAAAAAUUCUGAUGCUUGGAUAAAAAAUAGCCCUUGCAUAGAAAUUUUAGAAUGUGCUUUAGAAAUUGUAAAAACUGAAGUAGUAAGAAUUAGUAGAGAACAUUUACAAUUAAACAAUCUAUUAGAUGAAAGGUUCAGAAGUAUAAAACUUACAGUAUACUACACAUCUCCUUUAAAUCUUGAAAUAGAAAGAAAAAUAAGUUUUAAACAUUACGCUUUUACAAAUUUGUCGGUAUUUGACUUUAGAAAGUUUAAUUUAGAAUAUUAUAAUAUUAACAAGCAGAUAAAAUUAUUAGACAAGUUUGAGAAUUUAGCUUUAAAAAUUAGAAACAAAUUAGAAGAUUUAUAAAAUUAGUUUAUGAAUUUUCAUAAAUUAGAAUAUUUAGAUUUAGAAAUUAGUUGCCAUAGAAAAACAAAUAUUAAAUUUGACAAAAAGAAUAAAAAUUAGUUGUAAAUCAAAUACUUAGAAAAUCAAUUUAAUUAAUUUAGGACAACAACUAGAAGUCAAUAUAGAAAAGCUAAAAGAACUAGUACUAGUACUAGGACUAGGAAAAUCCUUUGAAACUAGCAAUAUUAAUACAUUAAGAAGAAAUUUAGAUUAUAUUAAAGAAUGGUUAGCCGAUUUUAAUAAUCAGAUUAGAAGAUUUCCUAGCAAGAUAGAAAUAAUAGAAUUAAUUCAAUUAUUACACAUAAAAAAACGUAAUUCAAUAAAAUUAGAAAUUAAAACCUUGUAGGAAUGUUAAAAGUUGAAAUAAAAAAUUUAAAAUUUACACAGAUCGAAUUACAAAAACAAUUAGACUUAAUAAAAUUAAAAAUCAGUGAAUGAAUUCAAAAAAUCAAUAAAUAGAAUCUUUAGCAAAAUUAAAAUGUGAAAUACCACAUAUUAAUCCAGUAGGUUAUAGCUUUAAAGAAUUUAGUCAAGAAAGUAAUACUAUCCAGCAAGCACAAGCAAAGGUUAUUAUUAAAUUAUUAGUCAAAGUUAGUAAUAAAUUAGAAGACCUAAGCGAUAAACUUAUUAAAACGUAAAGAAUCCUUAUCAAAUUUAGAAUUCGACAACUCACUAGACAAUUUAGAUAGAGAACUAGACAUAUUGACUAAGAGAGUAGAAAAGUUAAUUUAAGUGGACUAAUCUUAGAAAGAACUGAAGACAUAAUAGAUGAACAUGACCCAAAUAAAUUAUUAGAAAGAAAAGAUUAUAUAACAAAAGUUUAAUGUCAGAAAUAAAUAAUAGUUUAUACAUCUAUUUAGAUGAAAUUAAAUUAUUUGUAGUAAAUAGAAGAGAAGAAUUAACUUUAAUUAGUCCAGUAGGAAGAGAUUAUCUUAAGAAACAAAAUUGCACAUAUAUAUAUAUGUGCAAUUUUGUUUCUUAAGAUAAUCUCUUCCUACUGGACUAAUUAAAGUUAAUUCUUCUCUUCUAUUUAGAAAUCUAUAUAAUAAAUAUCAUAAAAAAAUUUAGAUUUGAAAGUAAAAAUAUAGUAGAUUGUUUUAAAAGUCAAUAUGUAGAAAUAAUAGUAUCUAAAAAACUAAGUAGUAGUGAAUUAAAUGGAUUAGAAUGGAUAUUACCUAAAUUAUAACAAGAUAAUAUGUUAGAAGUACUAGAAACUAGCUAUAUAUAUAAAUAGACAAAAUCAAGUUACACAAAGAUUUAGUAAUUAUAGAUAAAGAGGUAAUCCAGAAUUAUAAGAAAACGAACAAGAAAUAGAAAUUAAUAUGGCUAUAAUAUAAAAUUUUAAAUAUAGAUAAACAUAAAAUGUUACUUAAUAAUAGAGAUAAGAUUAUAGACUUAAUAUUUAAUGAUCCUAAAAAAAUUUAGAUGAGUGAUUAUUUGAAGAAUUAUGUAAUAAUGAUCCAUUAGCAGAUGAUGACAUGGACAACAAACUUAUAAAAGACUUAGAUUUUAAGAAUUUAGAAAUAUAUGAAAUACAUUAUUUAAAACAAGUAAAUGAAAUAUUAGUAGAAGAAGAUGAUGAAAAGCGAAGACCAGGUAAAAGUAGUAAUAGACCUAUAUUAGAUCAAUAGUAGGACCAUCAAAUGUAGAAAGUUAUUUAAAUAAAUAAGGAAUCCCAAAAAGUAAUGAAAAUUACACAUAAUCAGAAAGAAUAUUUAAAGUUAAAAUAAAAUUAGAAAGUUGGAAAACAACGACGCAUGCUAGAGAUUUAUUAGUAUUAGAAUCAGAAGGACACCAACCUAGUGAAUGGAAACAAGUAUUUAAUCGGUGGGAAGGUAAUUUACAUAGACAUUCUAUGGAAGCAUUAGUAAUAAUAGUAGAUUCGAAUUUUAAAUUAAUAUGUUUAGAAAGUACCUUUGGAAAUAGAGAAAAACAAAUGUAUUUAUGAUGGAAAGAAUGGAUGAAGAAAAAUAAGAUAAUUUUGAUAUAAAUAUUACAGUAAUUAGUUUUAUUGAUUUGAUGAAAAAAUUAAUAUUAGGAAUAGAUGAAGAAGACGAUGUAGUUAAACAAUUAAAAACUUGUGAUUUAAAAUAUUUUGAUAAAUACGCUAAUUAUUAUUAUAAAUAUUGGAGUGAAAUAGGAAGACCUUUCAAUGAGGAUUUAUAAUUAAAAUUUGUAGAUAAAUUACCAAGAAAGAUAGGAGAAGAAUUACAUAAUGAAGUGAUAAUUGGUUUAAAACUAAAUGAACGCAAGAAAUAAAUUAUUAUGCAACAUUAUUACUAAUAAUAGAAUACGAUAGAGGUAGAAUUAGAGAGUAUUGUGAAGAAGAAAAGCAUAGACAUCAAGUAAAAGUACAAUUUAGGAAAUGUGUAUAGAUAUGUUCGAAGUUCCAACCUUAGACAGUAAUUAUCCUAGUUAUUUUGGACGCAAGAAACAUAAGAAGCAUAGGAAACGUUACAGUCAAAAUAAUCAACCAUAUUGGCACAAUAAUAGAAAAUUUUAUAAAAACAAAUUCUUCAAAUAUAAUAAUAUUAAACAAAAAGUUAGAAAAGUAUUUAAAAGGGGAAAACGAAUCCAUAAAAGAAAUAAAGCUUGUAAAUUUUUGUAAGUGGUAAAGAAGGAUAUAUUAAACCACAUUGCUCUGAAAUUAAAAAAAAAAAGUCAAUCAAUUAGAAAUAGAUAGUUAUAAUAUAGAAAUAUAGAUUUUAUGCAUAAAAGAAAUUCUUAAUAUAUAUUAACUAUUGGAUAAUGAUAGUAUAUGUAUUAUUAGUAGUAGUGAAUUAGAAACUAGUAAUAGUUAAGAAACAAAAUCAGAUUUAGAAAUUAAUGUUUUAGAAACAUACACAUCAUUUUUUUUGUUAAAAACUAUACAUAUUAUAAUAGAAAAUUUGAACUAGGAUAUAGAGAUACAAACAAAGGAAUUUUUUUUUUUUUUUGUAAUACUUGUUAGAUAAACAGUAAAAAGAUAAAACAAUAGAAAUAAAUAGAGUAGGAAGUAAAGUAAUAAAUGUAGAUGUAGAAUUAUUAUUUAAAAAAGAAUCAAUUUCUACUAAAGUAAUAAUAGACACAAGUGCAAAUAAAUGUGUCAUACAUGAUAGUUUAGUACCUAAAGAGAAUAGGAAUAAGUUAAGAAAUCCAAUAAAUAUAAGACAGUUUAUUGGUGAACUAAUGCAAAUAACAAAAUGUAUAAAUAAUAUACCUAUAAGAAUAAAUGGAAAACACAUAUUUUACCACAAACAUUUAUUUCAAAUCAGAAAGUAAGAUAUAAAUUUAUUUUAGGAUUAAACUUUAUAUUAGGAAAUAAUGAUAGUAUACUAAUAACUGUAAAUUGAGUAAAUUUCUUUUAAAAAAUCAACACUUAUUCAACCAAAAUAUGAAACACAUAUUUUACUUAUGAAAAGAAGACUUUUAUCCUAAAAAAAGAUGUAGAUAUAUAAUUCUUUAAUUCUUUAUUAGAAUAAGAAAAGGGAGAAAAUACAAAAGAGUUAGAAGGCAAUAGUAAGUUAGAAUCAGAAAAUGGUAGGCAUAAAGCAGAAAUUAGAAAUAGACAAGUACUUAGAAGAUACAAUGAGUGUAGAAAAAGAAAUACAAUGUUUAGAAUGUGAAAAAUGGCUUGAAGAAAUUAGAAAAAAAAGUACAAGGAUUAGAAAAAUUAAAAAAUAAUAGCAACAACCCAAUUAGAAAGGACAAUAAAGAAGUAUAUAAAUUGGUAAUUACUAAUUCAGAUAUAACAAUAUAAACACAAUAUCUAGCUCAUAGUUUAGAAGAUAGAAAUGAAUUGAAAAGCAUAUAAAUGAAUUGUUAGAAAUAAAAGUCAUUAGAAAAAUUAUAAGUGUGGUCAUUUAUUGUAAAUAGUCAUAGUGAACAAAAGAGAGGUAAGAGUAGGAUGGUAAUUAAAUAUAAAAGAUUAAAUGACCAUACUUUAGACAAUAGUUAUAAAAUACCUAAUAAAGAUGAACUGGUAAAUUGUAUACAAACUGCUAGAUAUUUUUCUAAUUUUGAUUGCAAAAGUAGUUUUUGGCAAAUAUGACUCUAUGAAGAAUUUAUUUAAUGAACAACUUUUAGUUGUUCAAAAAGACAUUUUGAAUGGUUAAUAAUGCUUUUUGGAUUAAAAAAUGCACCACAAGUUUUUCAAGUCAGCAUGGAUAAAAUAUUAAUAUCCUUUUCAAAAUUUUGUAUAGUUUAUAUAGAUAAUAUUCUUGUUUUUAGUCACAAAAAGUUCAUGUAUAUAACUCACUUACAUAAAAGUCUAGAUUGUUUUAAGAAAAAUAAUAUAGUAAUUUCUAAAAAGAAAAUUGAACUAUUAAAACCAAAAAUAGACUUUUAGGACUAAAAAUAGAUUGAGAAACAUAGAUUUACAACCACAUAUAGUUAGUAAAAUAUUAGAAUUUCUAGAUAAAAUAGAAGAUACUAAAGAGCUAUAAAAUUUAUUAGGAUUAUUAAAUUACAAUAGAAAAUUUAUACCAAACCUUAGUACAUUAAUAAGAUCUCUAUUACAAAUUAAGUAAAAAUGGACAAAAAAAAAUUUAAUAGUUAAGGCAUAAAAUUAAUACAAACUUAAAGGAAUAGUUAGGAAUCCUAAGCCAUUAGCAUUGCCCACAGACAAUUAUUAUAAAAUUAUGCAAACUGAUGCAACUAGUUUAGGUUGGCUAGGGAUAUUAAUAUAAAAACAUAACAAAGGUAGCUCAAAAGAGAAAGAAAAAAUAGCAAUGUAUAGUAGUGGAAAAUUUAUAGAAAUAGAAAGUAGAAAAUCAAGUACAAAAUUAGAAAUUCUAGAAAUAAAAAUUUAUUUAAACUAAUUUCAUUUGUAUAUACAAAAUGACACAUUAUAAUAAGAACAUAUUGUAAUAAUAUUAUAGAAUUUUAUAAAAAAAGUAUAGAAGAAUUUUUUACUUUCUAUUUCUUCUUUCUCUUUUGAGCUACCUUUGUUCGGUUUUUGUAUUAAUAUUUCUGCCCAACCUAAACUACUUUCAUCAGUUUGUAGAAUUUUGUAAUAAUUAUCUAUAGGUAAUGCUAAUGGCUUAAGAUUCUAAACUAUUCCUUUAGGUUUUUGUAUUAGUUUUAUGUCUGCACUACUAAAUUAUUUUUGUCCAUUUUUACUUAACUUAUCAUAUAGAGGCCUUAAUAUUGAACCAAGAUUUGGUAUAAAUUUUCUACUGUAAUUCAAUAAUCCUAAGAAAUGUUGUAGUACUUUAGUAUCUUUUAUUUUACUUGGAAAUUCUAAUAUUUUACUAACUAUAUUUUAUCUGGAAAUUCUAAUAUUUUACUAACUUUAUUCUUAGUCCUAAAAAAUCUAUUUUUUUUGUUUUAAUAGUUCAAUUUUCUUUUUAGAAAUUAUUAUAAUGCUAUUUUUAAAACAAUGUAAAAUUUUAUGCAAGUGAGUUAUAUGCAUGAACUUAUUAUAACUAAAAACAAGAAUAUCAUCUAUAUAAACAUACAAGAUUUUAAAAAAAGAUUUUAAUAUUUUAUCUAUCCUAAUUUGAAAAACUAGUGGCGCAUUAUUUAAUCUAAAGGGUAUUACUAACCAUUCAAAAUAUCUUUUUCAACAACUAAAAGUUGUCCAUUGAAUAGAUUCCUCAUAGAGUCAUAUUUGCCAACAAAUCAAACUUAGAAAAUAUCUACCACGUUGUAUACAGUUUACUAAUUCAUCUUUAUUAGAUAUUUUACAACUAUUGUCAAAAGUAUUACCGUUUAAUCUUUUAUAAUUAAUUACCAUCCUACUCUUAUCUCUUUUUUGUUCACUAUGAUUAUUUAUAAUAAAUACUGGACUUUUAUGUCUACUUGUAUUUUUUAUAAUGACUUUUAAUUCUAACGAUUCGUUUAUAUGCAUUUUAAAUUCAUUUAUAUCUUAUAGGCUAUAAGUUAGAUCUUGUGUUUAUAUUUUUAUAUCAGGAUUAAUAAUUUCUAAUUUAUAUACUUUUUUAUUACCUUUUCUAAUUGAUUUGAUGCCUAUUAUUUCUAAUUCUUCUACUUUUUUCUAAUUUCUUCAGGCUAUUUUUCACAUUCUAAACAUUCUACUUCUUUUUCUACACUCAUUGCAUCUUCUAAAUACUUUUCUAUUUCUUCAUCAUCGAAAAUUUUUACUUUAUGCAUGACAUUUUCUAAUUCUAACUUACUACUGUCUUUUAACUCUUUAGUAUUUUCUACCUUUUCUUCUUCUAAUAAAGAAUUAACGAAUUUUAUAUUGACAUUUAAAAAUAUUCUUUUUGUACAACAAAAUGUGUUUUUCAUAUUUUGGUUGAAUAAAUGUUGUUUUAAAGAAAAUUACUCCAUUUGGAGCUAUUAAUAUACUGCCAUUAUUUCCUAAUAUAAAGUUUAAUCCUAAAAUAAAUUUAUAUCUUACUUUCUGAUUUGAAACAAAUAUUUGCCGUAAAAUAUGUGUUUCUCCAUUUAUUCUUAUAGGUAUAUUAUUUAUACAUUCUGAUAUUUGCAUUAGUUCACCAUUAAACUGUCUAAUAUUUACUAGAUUUCUUAACUUAUUCCUAUUCUCUUUUGGUACUAAACUAUCAUGUAUGACACAUUUAUUUGAACAUGUGUCUAUCAUUGCUUUAGUAUAAUUUUUUUUAAAUAAUAAUUCUACAUAUAUAUUUAUUAGUUCACUUCUUGCUCUAUUUAUUUAUGUUGUUUUAUCUUCUAGUUGUUUAUCUUUGCAAUUAUUACAAAAGAAUUUUCCUGUAUUUUUAUCUCUAUAUCCUAGUUCAAAAUUUUAAUUACAAUUUGUACAGUUUUUACCAAAAAAUGAUGUGUAUGUUUCUAAAACAUUAAUUUCUAAAUCUGAUUCUAUUUUUCAGUUUGAUUCUAAACUUGAACUAUUACUAGUUUCUGAUUCACUACUAUUAAUAAUACAUAUAUUAUCAUAAUCAGAUAAUUCAUCUAUAUUAAGAAUUACUUCUAUGUAUAAAAUAUAUACUUUUACAUUAUAACUGUCUAUUUCUGAUUGAUUGACUUUUUUUUUAAUUUCAAGGUAAUGUGAUUUAAUAUGUUCUUCUUUACCAUAUAAAAAAUAUUUACAAGCUUUAGUUCUUUUAUAAAUUCGUUUUCCUUUUUAAACGCUUUUCUAACUUUUUGUUUAUUAAUAUUAUAUUUAAAGAAUUUCUUUUCUAGAACUUUCUAUUAUUGUACCUAUAUGGUUGCUUAUUUUGAUUAUAACGUUUCCUAUACUUCUUAUGUUUGGCCUAAGGUUGGAACUUAGGACAUGUCUAUACACAUUUUUCUAAAUUGUAAUUUUACUUGAUGUCUAUGAUUUCUUAUUCAUAGCAUUCUCUAAGUCUACCUCUAACAUAUUUUAUUAGCGGUAAUAAUGUUGCAAAAUAAUUUAUUCCUUGUGUUCUUUUGGUUUUAAACCAAUUAAUUACUUUAUUAUGUAAUUUUUCUCCUAUUUUUCCAAGUAAUUUAUCUACAGAUUUUAAUAAUAAAUCCUCAUUGAAAGGUCUUCCUAUUUCACUCCAAUAUUUAUAAAAAUAAUUAGCAUAUUUAUCAAAAUAUCUUAAAUUACAAAUUUUUAAUUGUUCUAGAUUUCUAAUUGAUUUAAUUUAUUUAAUUACAUUGUCUUUUUCAUCUACUCCUAAUAUUAAUUUUUUCAUUCAAUCUGUAAAAUUAACUACUGUAAUAUUUAUAUCAAAAUUGUCUAAUUCUUCUAUUUUAUUUUUCUUCAUCCAUUCUCUCCAUCCUAAAUAUAUUUAUUUUUUUCUACUUUCUAAGGUAUUUUCAAAAUAUAUUAAUCAUGCUUCCAUAGAAUGUCUAAGUAAAUUACCUUUUCACUGGGUAAAUACUUGUUUUCAUUCACUAGGUCUAUGUCCUUUUAAUUCUAAUACUAAUAAAUGUCUAGCUUAUGGCGUUGUUUUCCAAUUUUUUAAUUUUGUUUUAGCUUUAAAUACUCUUUCUGAUUCUGUGUAUUUUUCAUUACUUUAUGGAAUUCCUUAUUUAUUUAAGCAACUUUCAACAUUACGAUAGUUCUACUGUUGGUUCUAAUAUAGGUCUAUUACUACUUUCACCUAAUUCUGGCUUUCCAUCUUCUUCUCCUACUAAUAUUUCACUUACUUGUUCUAAAUAAUAUAUUUCAUCUAUGCUUAAAUUCUUAAAUUCUAAAUCUUUUAUAAGUUUGUUGUCCAUGUCAUCAUAUGCUAAUUUAUCAUUAUUACAUAAUUCUUCAAAUAAUUCCUCAUCUAAAUAUUUUUUAGGAUCAUUAAAUAUUAAAUCUAUAAUUUUAACUAUUUUAUUAAGUAACAUUUUAUGCUUAUAUAUAUUUAAAUUUUCUAUUAUAACCAUAUUAAUUUCUAUUUCUUGUUCGUUUUCUUGUAAUUCUGGAUUACUUCUUUGUCUAUAAUUACUAAAUCUCUGUGUCACUUGGUUCUGUCUAUUUAUAUAUAUAGCUAGUUUCUGGUACUUUUAACAUAUUGUCUUGUUCUAAUUUAGGUAAUAUCCAUUGUAAUCCAUUUAAUUUACUACUACUUAGUUUCUUAGGUACUAUCAUUUCUACAUAUUGACUUUUAAAACAAUUUACUAUAUUUUUACUUUCAAAAGUAAAAUUUUUAUAAUAUUUAUUAUAUAAUUUUCCUAGAAAAAAUGUUUUAAUUCUAAGAUUUUUAUAUUCUGCAUUUAUUUUAUAUCUUUUAGUUUGCACACUUAAUUUAAUAUGUUCACAAAAUUCAUUUAUAUCCAUGUCUAUAUUAGGUAUACAGCCUAGUAUUGUUACUUUAUUUUUUAAGUAUGCUUCUGCACUUGCUAUUUAAGUUUAUUCAUGUUCAUAAAAUCUAUUGACACAUAAAUAUAAAUGAGCUUUAGUGUCUAAACCUUCUAUAACUUGACUAAGGAUUCCUAUUACUGUUCUUCCCAAAUGUAUAUAUGUGUAAUUUUUUUCUUAAGAUAAUCUCUUCCUACUGGACUAAUUAAAGUUAAUUAUUCUCUUCUAUUUACUAAUGAUAAUUUAGUUUCAUCUGCGUAGAUAUAUAAACUAUUAUUUAUUUUUGACAUUAAAGCUUCAUUACAUAAUCUUUUCUUUCUAAUUUGUUCAAAACCUCUUUCUAAUAAUUUGUCUAAAUCCUAUUCAUCUAUUGUGUCUCUAGUUCUUUUUAUAAUUUCUUUACCUCUAUUAGAAAAUGAUGACGAUCUUUUAAUUCUUUCUGCCAUAUUUAUAUUUAUUCUACUAUUUCUUAUUAAGUUCAUUACUUUUUAAUAUUACUUUGUGUCUACUUUUCUAGGUACUAAAAUCGGCUUGCUUAAAUUUAACUUUUAUACUCUAUUAGUCAACAUGUCUAGUUCUUUAUCUAAAUUAUCUAAUGAGUUGUUGAGUUCUAAAUUUCAUAUGGAUUCUUUACUUUUUCUAAAGGCUUGAAAGCUACUUUUUGAUUUAAUAAGUCUAUUAUCUAGGUUUUCUAAUUUAUUACUAACUUUGACUAAUAAUUUAAUAAUAGUAUUUGCUUAUGCUUGCUGAAUAACAUUACUUUCUUGACUAAAUUCUUUAAAGCUAUAACCUACUGGAUUAAUAUGUAGUGUUUCAUGUUUUAAUUCUGCUAAAGAUUAUAUUUAUUGCCUUUUUGAAUUCAUUCACUAACUAUUAAUUUUAUUAAUAUUUUCUAUUUCAACUUUUGAAGUUUCUAUAAGGUUUUUUUAAUUUCUAAUUCUACUGGAUUAUGUGUUUUAAUGUCUAAUAAAUGGAUUAAUUCUAUUAUUUCUUUCUUGUUAGGGAAUCUUCUAAUUUGGCUACUAAAAUCGAGUAAUAAUUCUUUAAUAUAAUCUAAAUUUCUUCUUAACGUAUUAAUAUUGCUAGUUUUGAAGAAUUGUCUUAGUCCUAGUACUAUUUCUUUUAGCUUUUCUAUAUUGACUUAUAGGUAUUGUCCUAAAUUAAUUAAUAGAUCUAUUGUGAAAUUAAUUAAUAGAUCUACUAGUGUGUGGAAUAUGUUUAAAUUGAUUUUCAAAGUGCUCAAUAUUACAACUAAUUUUGAUUAUUUUUGUCAAAUUUAAUUUUUGUUUUCUAGGAUGGCUAAUUUCUAAAUCUAAUAAUCUAAUUUUUGAAAAUUCAUAAACUAAUUUUUUAAAUCUUCUAGUCUAUUUCUGAUUUUUAAUGCUAGAUUCUCAUACUUGUCUAAUAAUUUUAUCUGCUUGUUAAUAUUAUAAUAUCGUAAAUUAAACUUUCUAAAGUCAAAUAAAGACAAAUUUGUAAAAUAAUAAUAUUUAAAACUUAUUUUUCUUUCUAUUUCAGGAGCUAAAGGAGAUGUGUGGUCUAUUGGAAGUUUUAAAUUUCCUAAUCUUUCUUCUAAUAAAUUGUCUAAUUGUAAAUACUAAUUAUUGCUCUUUAGUUUUUACAAUUUCUAAAGAACGUUUUAAAAUUUCUAUGCAAGGGUUAUUUUCUAUCCAAGUAGCAAAAUCUUUUUCUAAAAUAGCGAAUGGACUUUUAUAGAAUUUUUCAAGAUUUUUGUCAAAUCUAGCCAAUUUGGAAAAUACAUCAUAAAGUUAACUAAGUCUGCCUUGUAACUACUUAUAUAAAAAUACUUAAAACAAGAAUAAAAAAGGCGCUCUUAUACUAAAGAAUACAAAAGAAAAAUGUAGAGUUAGGGGAAAACUUAUAUGUGGCUUGUUAGACCGGUAGUGCAAACUGAUAUAGUUUCUAUUCGGGUUAACCAUCAAAUUAUGUCGCCAAUUUUCCACUUAGAUAUAGUGAAUUCCCAAAUGUUUUGUGAAAACUGCGAAACUUGCCUUGGCAAAAAUUGACUUUUUAAAGUUUAGUAAACUGAUUAUGAAAACAUGUUAGUUAAAAAUACUUUUAAACUCUUGAAUCACAGGUAAAAAGUCUUCUCAACACAUUAACGGCUAAAUGGGCCAACGGAGACCAUGUUUAAAAAAAAGCUUUUAGAAAAUCAGUAGAAACUUCUACUAAGUUCUUAUUAUUUUUGUAAAAAAAAAAACACAUUUCUCAAAAACUUUCCUCCAAACUAUUUUCCAUUGAAUAAUAAUAAGGACAACCUUUUGUUAAUGCUUUAAAUAUAAUUUAUAUUUCUAUUAACUAGGUGAGACUUCUAAACCCGAAAGUUAAAUAAGUAAAACUAAAGAAAUUAAAUCUACUUAUUUGAUAAGAGCUUGCUAGUUGGUGUCUAAAAGAUUGCUAAGUUUUUAUGAAUAAGAAAUUUUUUUUAUUUCUUUUGAUUCUUGAGUACAGAGUAUUGGUUUGUUUCUCUUGCUCGUCUCUCUUUUUCUUUUCCUUCUCUCUUACCCUUGACCUUCUUUACUCAAGAGUUCUAUAUAUACAACCGAGGUCUUGAUACAAUUUAUGACUCUAUGUACAAAGGACAAGACUUUAAAAUUAUACUUUACAUGCGGCAAAAAGCCAACAAUUAAUUAAUAAGGUGAAAAGUCAAAAGACUAACUGGCUACUAUCACUUUGUAAUGACUCAGUGUCGGUAAAUAGUGACUAUCUACUAUUGUUUAAGCUGACUCACUAUUUGUAAUAAAGAGACAAAAAGAAAAAGAUACCUUCAUAGUUUUUUUCUUAUUAGGUAAUGAGUAAAAGAAGGGCAUCUGUAAAACAUGACUCUAAUAAAGACUGACUACUUUGACUUUUGGCUAUUACUAGCUCGCUAAUCUUCCAUAUCGUUUUCUUUGUCGUCUGCUUCUUCACUUCCCAAAUCAUUCCACCAUUCAACUUCAUGUAGAGCCAAUUCUUAUUGUUCUCUCUGAGCUUGCAUUUCUACUUUAAAUUAUUUAGCGUAGUGCUUUACCAAUCUUGUAUGUUUAGUUUUGAUGAAGAAGGGUACUUCUAGAAGUGGAGAAGGAGAGCAAAAAAAGGCUUGAAAUUAAAGAGAUUAGCUGACAGGUUUCUAUUGAAAAGAAAAAGACAAAUACAAGUUAUUUUAAGAAUUAAGGAGAGAAUCUGGUUAUGUUAAAAUUGUUUCAUAAUAACCAUGCAAUUAUAAAGACAAAUACAAUUUGACAAUUAUUUUUAAAAUAUUCACUUACUAUUAUCAUUUAAGAGUCAGAGAGUGAUGCUAAUGGCACCAGUAAAUAAACAAAUGACUUCACACUUCUAAGCAAUUCGGCCGAUUUGGGCCAAUUGAAAUCGGGACCGAUAUCAUUUUUUCACCUCAUGGGAUCAAUUAUCAUUAUGACAAUUGACAAAACUAGGAUAGGAAUAACCUCACGUCUAUCACGUAGGGGUAUCAAAAACGUAUAACCAAACACAUCCAAAAACCUAAAAAACCCUAAUCACUCUCACUUUAUUUUUCAUCUCACACACACUCCAUUCUCGGCUUCAAUAAAACCCUAGCAAACUUAACGCUGCGGCUCUGCCCCCUUCCCCAUAUAUCCCCCAACAGAAAAAAACACACACAAACCAAAACCAAUGGCCGCCGCCGCCCGUCCUCUUGUAACCGUCCAGUCUUUGGAAGGUGACAUGGCCACCGACGCAAGCUCCACCGUCCCCUUGCCCGAUGUCAUGAAGGCCUCUAUCCGACCCGACAUCGUGGGCUUCGUUCACUCUAACAUCUCCAAGAACAGCCGCCAGCCUUACGCCGUUUCCAAGAAGGCAGGGCACCAGACCUCCGCCGAAUCAUGGGGUACCGGUCGCGCCGUCUCCCGUAUCCCCCGAGUUCCCGGAGGCGGUACCCACCGUGCCGGCCAGGGAGCCUUCGGUAACAUGUGUCGCGGUGGUCGCAUGUUCGCUCCCACAAAGAUCUGGCGCCGAUGGCACCGUAAGAUCAACGUCAAUCAGAAGCGAUAUGCCAUCGUUUCCGCCAUUGCCGCCUCCGCUGUCCCCUCACUUGUGAUGGCCCGUGGUCACAAGAUCGAGACUGUUCCGGAAAUGCCCCUGGUCGUCAGUGAUUCCGCCGAGAGUGUUGAGAAAACAUCAGCUGCUCUUAAAGUUCUGAAGCAGAUCGGUGCAUAUGCUG
rnacentral:lncRNA from 1 species